AUUGUUCUCAGCCAGUCAGACCAUCGUUCUGCCCAUGAAUUUCCUUCAACAACAAAAACAACAACAACAACAACAACAACAAAAAAACAGAUUCUCCAGCGCAACAUCUGAGGAAACAUCAUCAACACUUGGAGACUGCAUCAGGCAAAACUCUGCACUCAACAGUGAGUUCACCCUGUGUGCUUAUGACUACAAUUAGUGCUUUUGUUAUCAGUUGCAGCUUUUAUAGAUGCUUUUGUGAGAAUUCAUUCUGAUGAAUUCUGAUAGAAAAUGAACUCUAUUUUGAUUCUGUUAACCCAGCCCUCACACAGUCUCUCUUUCCUUUUGUUCAGAAUGAAAUAAAAAUAUCUAAUAUGAUGUAAACCAUCCACCAGAAAUCACAGCUACAUUUAAAGGAUUUGAGGAAAAAUAGAAAUGGAGAGAUCGUUGCUGACUGUGACACAUUGAUCUAUUUUAAAUGUGUGAAUUUUUCAUUUCAAAGCUUAAACUGAUUGUGUCUCUACAAGAGGAGACACAACCUUACCAGCAGAGGGUGCUCAAUGUACAGGGAAUGCUCAACAGCGGCCACUGCAGGGGUUGAACGUCCUCAUCAAGUUAGAUCUCAAUUUCUUUGACAGUAUGUUCAGCUCUGAAAAAUGUUUCUUUAACACAUAAAAUGUGUCAUCAAACACUUCAGUUUAUCUACAACAGACGGUAACUUACCCAGAACCUGAAAUUCAUGAGUCAGAGUGCAGUUUGUGCGGGGUGUGUAGCAGCAUUGUGUUCCACUCCUUUUUUUUAAUGAACAGAGUUUCAAAAAGCAUGUCCUACCUGAUCACACAAACACUCACCUGUCAUCCUCGAGUAAUCAUCAAAUCAUUACCUGCUUUAGUAUGUCCGGAAAUAUUUUGAAGACGUCACUGCACUAAAUACCUUAUCAUCUGGAGGUGUCUGGGUAUCUAAAGUGUGACUGAGUACAGCUUUGUAAGAUGCCAUAGCUGCACUAAAAUGAGAUUUCUGGCAUGGGACCACUUUGAUACUCUGAAAAUACAGUGAUUGGUUAGAUUUGGGAUCACUGUUGUUGUAUAAUGACUCAAAUUUCUGAUCUCAGCUCAGUAUUUCGAAUGCAUUGGUGACAGAAAGUGAUGAUCUGCCACAGAUGUGAUAAUACUGCAGCUGAAUACCAAAUCCAAGUGUUUUGAGACAUAGCAUGAGGGCAUAUUGAAAUAUUUUUAUGUAUUGUUUCUGGAUAUAAGACAUCUGGAUUCGCUGGUCUAUAUGAGGGGGAUUUCUCUCACCACUUGUCAUAUAAAUCUCCAAAUAUGUCUCAGAUAUGAUGAAGCCAUUUCAGCAUCCUCCUCCUUCUCGUGUUGCCUCCACGAUGGGGAAUCAUGACUGUGCGACUGAAUGGCACUUAAAUAAAUCUUGACAAGUUACUUUGAGUUUGAGCUAUGAGCUGACCAUCUACAUGCAGCUCAACAGAUUUAUACUCGACCAGUGUCUCUCAAUGUCAUGUACCAAGGCUGUCACCACAUUAGAUUUACACCUUAUGGUAAAAGAAGCCAUAAAACAUCCUGAUAAAAACUUUUUAUAAGUAUUUAUGGAAAACCUUAAAAUAAAAUAGCCCAAAUCAGUGAGAAAAGAAAACAAGGAUGGAUCAAAACACGACCUUAUAACCUUCAAUAAGAAACACAGUGAACCUACGUGUCCUCAUCAAUUUCUAUUAAUAUACACAGUUAUAAUUCAUCACCAGCACUGGACAAGACAUUAUGUUAUUUAAUGAUUUCUUUUUGUCUCACAUAUAGGUGUCUAUAUUCUCUGCAUUGUCAAACUAUGCCUUUAUUUUGAAGUUUGCUCCCUCUGGUAGAUUAUAAAUUACAGAGCUGGGUUAAUACAGUGAAAAGAACGGUUGAAAGAAUGGAUUUUUAAUUAAUUACUAAUCUAAACAUUUUUUGGAUUCACGAUUAAAAGAGUCUUAUCAUCUCUCUGAUGGCUGCAUGCUUCAUCUUAUCCAACAGCUUUACAAAGCUUCCCCGCAGUAAAUUCGUGUUAUUUUUUUUAUUAUUUAUUAUUUUUAUUAUUGUGUUUGAGACUUCACAAAUGUUAUCAAUAUACAGAAUCAAUAUUCUUCCCAGUACAGAACCUUGGGAAACCCCACGCUCAACCUAACAGUUCUGACUGAACCUCAUAGCAGUCUUCUCCUUCAGCUGUCCUCUGUCUUAUGGCCUCUGUCAACCAGCCUUAAGGACCGCUACUAUGAAGCCGCAGUACUACUUUAUGCCUAUAUUCCAAAAAAAUAAAAAUAAAUUAAAAAAAAUUGAUAAUAAUAAUAAUAAUAAUAAUAAUAAUAACUUUAUUUGUAUAGAACAUAAAAAAAAAGAUGUUUACAAAGUGCUUUGACAUGUAGUCGUAGAGCACAUGGAAAAAGACAAAUAAAAACAAAAAGCUCAGUUAAAACAGAAUUGAAGGCCAUUUUCAUGUCAUAAGGAACCCAGACAACACAAGAACCAUGCAACAUAAAAUGAGACCAUGAGGACCAAAAUAAAAACAUUAAAUAGUUAAGAAAAAAGGAAAAUGCAGUUAAAAGGGAGGAAGAAAGUGGAAACAGGAUACUAAAUAUAAAAGGCAAUAUCAACAAUAAUAAUAAAAUAAUAACAGGUAAUCUGAUAAUAAAAGUCAUAAUCAAAUAGAACAACAGAAAUGAGCAAGAGAUAAAACAAUAAAAGGCCCAAAAGGUUAAUUAAGAAAAGAGUACAAGUUUAACAAAAGCUAAAAAGACGGUAAAGCAGAAAUACGAUAGAGGUAAAAGAGAUAAAAGAUGACAGAUAAAAGAUAGAGAUAAAAGAUAAAAAAUAAAUGGCGGCAUCACUUAAAAGCAAGUCUGUAAAAGUGAGUUAUAUAUCAUAUAUUAUAUAUAUAUUAUAUUGUUUUUAAAAGACAGUUAUUGUUGAUACUGUUAUAUUGUGACAGUCAGUGCACAAACACAAGUAUGAAUUCAUGUAUCUACCAUGAAUCUAUCAGUUUGUGCUUCAUGCUGAUCAGUGCUCAUCUGCAGAUUUAGACAACUAGCAUUUUUGAUCACAAAAACAAUCACUCCAACUUCAAGUUUCUUCAUUACAUGUGCCUAAACAUAAGAAUUUCUUAAAGUGUGUGGAAAUAUUGCUUUGUUUCUUUAGAACACUAAUGUUGUGUUAUAUGUGACCUCUGUUUAAAAGAAAUCAUUCCCAAAUCUCACACAAAAAGAGCAUUAUAACCAGCUCAAAAUCAGUUAAUUAUUACUUCUAUAUAUUGUAAGUGACAACUGUGUCAAGGACCCCAAAAAAAACUAAACCCUCCCUUCCCCCGCACCCCCACUUAUCCUAAAUCUUGUAGUUGUCUGUUGAUAUGUGUCAUUGAUCCUCCAUUCAUUCCUGGACCAGCCCAGCUGUCAAUCACUUCCACCUCACUGCUCCCCCCAACGGCUGCACUCAGUCCCACUGCAGCUCCAGACGUCCAUCUGAGCUCUUUUAUGCAAUCCACCCCUUCACUGCUACGUGACGGCAUGGGAGACCAGGCGCUGACCCUGAAUCAGUUCCUGUUGCAGCACUUGGGGAGGGUGGAUGCAGAGAGGGUGAAAAAGAAAACAGAGAGAAAGGGGAAGCCAAUCAUCACAUCACCUCCUUAGCCAGACAGAGCAGAUCUCAGAGAUUUAAAUGUUGAUAAUUAAAAAAUAGGAGCAUAUUGUUUAGCCCCCAGGGCAGACUCAUACAGUAGAGAAGCUACGCCGGAGGAGAGGGGGGUGGGGUCACCUCUGCUGCCACCAACAGAGAUAUCCAAUAGAGGCUGCAGGGGCUGGGGGCGGGGGCCAUCCAUUUCAACAUCCAGGGAUUAUGCAGCUCAAUCAGACUCUGGCAGAUUAUGUCUGAACCAAAACAGACUCAGCCAGGGAUGGAGAUUAACAACUAUUUCCAAAUAACUCUGUUGCAUGAAAACAAUCAGCUUUGAGAUUAAGAGGAGAGCGAGAGGCUUCAAAUGGCCCACAGAUGUAAAAGCGAUGGUUUGGGAGGAUAAAUCUGUCCUGAAAUCCUUUCAGACGCAAUGGUUUCAAUAUGUUUCUGAGGUUAGAGUGUAAUUGGAUUGAUUUUACUAAUCCAAAAAAUAUUCUCGGAAAGCUUCUAAGAAAAAAAAACAAUCAGAGUCAGCAAAAACCUGUCCUUCAGGGACGUAAUUAAAAAUCCCCACCCUGUCACGAACACUAAUCUGGGUUAAAUGGUUAAAUGCAGAUUGAUCUUUAAAGCAGGGAUAAAAUAUGAAACUGAUAACAAAUUGGUCUUUGCUCUGGUUAACUUUUAUUUGUUAGUAACUGCAUUAGAUUAAUCUCCCCUUCAGAGUGCUGCAUCGAUGCUUCAUCAUCCAAGAAAAGACCAAUGUGGGAACACAACCCAAGGAGAAAAUCUGAUGAUCCAGUAAUCCAAAAUCUAGAAUCUGACCUCAAGAUAUCAUGAAAUAAUCUCAAUGGAACCUCCUAUACUGGCUGUCAGAAGAAAAAAGUUUAAGGUGAUGCUCGCAGGAUCAGAUUAAAAGUAAAGGUCCUUUCACACCGGGACUGUCUUUUUCGUACGAUUAUUUCGGAUGUUAAUAUUUUUUUUCAAACCCAUAUUCUGUCAAUACAAGUGUUCACACCAGAGACGUUUUCCCGUCCUGCGAUAUUGCGACAUUUAUUUUUUUUGGAUCAUGGUCGAUUUUCUAAAGUUUCACAUAUUGUGUGUCCACGUCUGACCAAUCAGAUUGCGUGUUGUUGCGACGACAGAUUCACCGGUAUAUCCAACAUGGCCGACCAGCAGAUUGUUUACGUUUAUUGUUUGAUAAAAGACACAAACAUUACAAAGAUAACAACCUUAACGACAACUUGUGGAGAGUCAUAGCGUUGGAUCUCUCAUAUGACAAUAGUUAGUGUGCUUUAACAGUUUGCUAAACGUCUUUGUUUUAACUUUCAUCUGUGCUAAGUAACUUUAGCUCAUAAACUAACCUGUUCAGAUACAGCAUGCCAUAUGUAUUUUCACUGCCUCAAACUCAAUGUGCAGGCCUAACUUUCUUAAAAAAUAAAAUAAAAUACAAAUAUUGUACUAAAACAAUCAAAUAGUAAUUCUGUGUAAUUAAUUAGUUGAGAGUAGAGGGCAGUAUUGGUUCUUAAUCUGUUUUUUAAGGCAAAAUUGUGGAACUGUUUGCCAACUGAGCCGGCACAACAACAUAACUGUAGUGUUUAGUCAAGGGUCUUAAAUCCUGAUGGAACAAGAAACAACUCUGCUCUGUGGCCUGCAACAUCAGCAGACAUGUCAGGAGAGGAUUUACUGUUUGGAAAUCCUCUAACAUUCAUCAUUGUUGCAUUCACCACUGAGAUCUCAUACAUUAAUGCGUUAAUGUCAUUCUGAAAAGCAGAAUCACAUGAAUGUGUUUAAUCUCUGGAGUCUGUCACAGGGCUGGUGGUGUGUACAAAACAUGAACAUUGAACAUCAUUGGAAAUAAUUAAUUGCUGACACUGAGGUAAGCAGGGUUAGGUAAGACAAGUUGACCGCAGAGAUCCAUACAUAAACAGAGCAAACUCAAAGUAAAACUGCAGUGAUUAAAAAUGUAGGCAUUAAUUAUUGUGUUUAAGAACAAACGAGGUAAAAAUGAGACAUAAUUAAAAAUGAGACAUUUAAAUAUGAAAAAAUGGUCAAAGUUUAGAAGUGUACAAGGGUAUUGUUGCUUCAUCUUUAUCUUUUACUCAAUACGACAAAAGGCAGCCUUUUUUUCUAUAUUUGUAAUAAUCAAUAAAUGAAGAAAUAUCAUCCUUAUUGUAAUUUUCUGGGCCAUGAUAACAGUGAGGAUAGAACCUGAUAUUGUGACAGCCCUCAUCUGUUUUCUUUUGUGCUAAUCACAGCUGUUUGCAGACACAGGACAACAACGUUCCAGGUGUUUUGUCGAAUAAUUCAAGAUUUACAACUGUGACAUACCUGCUAUGAAACUUUGAGCAGUGGUUCUUAACUGGUCCCACUCUGGGACCCACACUUUCCCAUGGUCCUUAAGUCGCGACCCAUUUUUACAGAAUUCAAACUAAGCAAAUUUAAUUUUAUAUAUAAAAAAAAACCUUUAAAGACUCUAAUCUUUAUCAUAAAUCCUCUUGUUUUAUUGAGUAAAGUGCAUUUCAGAGCACAUGAAGGGGACAACAUGAGGACGACAACAACUGAAGUUGCUUGUUCCAAAAACAUCAAAUAUCUAAUUAAUAUUGCAUUAAAUAUUUACUUUUUUGACCAGCUGUUCGGGACCCAUCCAGAACAUGUCCGUGACCCACUUUUGGGUCAGGACCCACCAGUUGAAAACCACUGCUUUGAGUGAGGUUUAGGAUGCCAGCUUCUUGUUUGCUUGUUAUGUGUUAUUUUGUUCAUGGAAGUCUAUGUAUCAACACCCCAUCAUUAUCAUCAGGUGUCCAACAGGACCCAGCAUGAAACAGCUGUUUGACAGUCUGCUAAAAUAAGUCUCACCUGCAGUAGCUGUUUGGUGUGUACUUCUCUAAAGGCUGAGGAUCCUUUGGUGAUUGAACCUCCUGAUAGCUGUGACAGGCCUCCAAAUACAGGAAGAGCCCUUCAGUGUGCUUAAGUCAGGGACAGAGGUGUUAUUUAAAAACUUAUGCUGAUUCAUUUUCAUUUUUUUCCUUCAGCUCACUCACCCAGGUUAAGAAAUGCUGGGAUAUCCUCUGGUAAAACAUCAGAUGUAUUAGAGAUUUGAAUUCAAAGGCCAUUCAGACACACAGAAACAGCUGAAGAACAAUGAUUUUAUCAUGAUACUUGUUUAACUCACAUUAUUAUGCUGGAAUUGGAUUAACCUCCAUGUUUCUGAGAGUGUUCAGUGUGUGUCUCUGCUGCGCUGUGAGUGUGGGGACUGUGAAAUAGAGCUGCAGGCCGACUGAUGAGUGACACUCUGAAUGUGCAUUCCACUUGAUUAGCUCCGUGCUUCAAUUCACUGAUGGUAGUCCUUUCAUCCUAUUAGCUCCAAAUUCCUAUAACGGGGUCUCUAAAUGCAUGGGCCCCAAAACCAGGGCCGGCCCCUGCUGGGAGGGCAUAUGGGGUGCUUUGUUGGCAGGAAGGGAGUGUGUGUGCAGGGUCCACCAAUCACUGCCCUCGCCUGGGGAGUUAAACAAAUUGAUUGGCAGGCAAGUGGCGGCCAGUUCCAGACACUGUGGUCCCUAUUCAUCCCAACACAGAGCCCAAAGAGCUCUGCGGUGAGCCAGCUGAAAGGCUGGAGGAGUCAUAAAAGAGGACUAGUUUAUUCUUUAAACAUACACUUCCACAUUUGGUUACAACACACCACCACCGAGCCUGAAAUCCUCAGUCUGCUCCCUUUACAAAGUGGUUUUCGGGAUUCAUCUGUGAGUCACAGCAGCAGGCUGGAAAGAGGUUUACGAGGCUGAUCCUCUAUAGGAUCAAGCAGAAAGUGUGUUUUCAAAAUGUUUUGGUUUUAACUCAGGCUACACUAACAGUUCACAGUCUGAUUUUCUGAACAGUCUAUAUUAGCUGACAGCCUCCAGUAUACGCUACUUUUCUGAUUGUGUUUCCAACUCAAUUUCCCCAAAGUUUCUAAAGUACACAGAUUAAUAAACCCACAUGAAGGAGUUUCACUGAUUCAUCUGAUGUCAUACCAGGUCCAGCUGUCUGUCUUUUUUCUUUUAUUUUAAUGUAUGUACAAUGCUGCAUUCCAGUUGUACUCAGAAGUCGGAAUUUCAGAGCUCCAAGUCGGAAAUUCAUCUGGAACGCCCCCCUGAAGUGGGAUUUCCUACUUGGAAAUUUGGGCGAUUCUCACCAACCCUGACUUGACGACAAUGUCAUAAUUCAAGAGGGCAGCGCAGUGCAUCAACAGUAAAGAGUAACAGUGAAAGCUCUUGCAAUGUAUUAUUUAUUAGCACUUCUGUUUUGUUUUGUUUUUUGUGAAAUUAAAUAAGUGGUAUAAGAUGAACUGCCCAACGUCUAACUGUGAACAUGGUGCUACGACAACCGCUAACAACGGCUAACGACAGCUGACAAUUGUAAACAACAGCUAACAACGGGUAACUGUAGGGGUCUAUCUUGGUUUUCCAACUUGUUAACUGGAAAGCUGUCAACUCGGGUGUAACGUCAUUCCUAGCUCUGACAUCCGACUUCAAAAGUAACUGGAACGCAGCACAAGUCAAUUCAUGUUUUUUUUGUUUUGUUUUUCUUUUAAUCAAGUACUGUCUUAUCAGCACCAGUGAGAAAACAGGGUAUGUGAAUUGUUGCAGUAAAGUGGUGCAUCAUCAAUAUCUGAAUGUUUACACUGGCCUGUCGACUAAAAACCACUCCAGUGGGUCAGCUGUCAUGAUGCUUUAGUGGGUUUUUGAUGCCUGAUAAGGAUGCGGUUCGUCAUCCUGUGAACCAUACUGUCUGUGUAUGUUUUUUUUUUUCUAAAGUUACAAAACUUUCCCCUUUAUAGUGUGUGUGUUUCUCACCUCCUUCAUGUUACAGUUGUCUGUGUUUACAACUCGUUGAAAUAAAAAAGCACUAUGCAGUAAGUUCUUUUUUCUGUUUGGCAGCCCACACUGUUGGUAAUGUAGCUUUAAAAAAAAAAAAAAAAACAACAAUAACAGAGUUUCUUCACCAUCUACUUCAAGAAUUAGACUGACAGCAAAACAAGUCCCUUCUGCUACCUCACUUUAGUAAGGAAAGUGACCCUUUUCUAUAUGUUUUGAACCAAAGAAGCCCAGAUUUGCAUUUUAUCAACUAAAGCCAUUAUUUUUACCAUUCUGUGCUUUGACCUUUUUUUAAUGCAAGAAAUAUUGAUUUGUAACACUUCUGUCAUUCUUCCCCAGGUGCCACAGUCUGCACCCUAACCGGGCCUGAUGAAAACAGGCCGUCACACAGAAGCGGUCAUCUGCCGAUGCCAAGGUGAAUGGCUCAGUGCCCACAUAGAUUAAACCAGUUCGCAAUUAGCCAAGGCCAGUCAGCCAGCAAGACACCAACAGGCAGGCAGCAGCUCAAACUAGCCAACCAGGCAGACACACACACACACACACACACACACACACACACACACACACACACACACACACACACACAAACUCAUGCCCAGCUGCAUUAUUUUUCUAUUAUUUCUUUCUGUCUUCUGUUGGGGCUGUUUAUCAUGACCUGAUUCUGCCUGAACAUGCGGUUUGCACCCUCUCUCUCUCUUCCUGCCCCCCCCCCCCCCCCAUCUCUCUUUCUCUCUCACACACAAACACUCAGCGUCAUGACUUGUACCUCUGCAUCAUGUUUCCCUCUCUUCCUGUUACUCUCUCUCCUUCAUUCUGGAUUCAAUCGGUUGAGCCAUCUUGGAUCAUAGCUGGAGUCAUGGGGCCCUUUAUUAUCAGUGCUGUGCUGAAAUGGUUUGGACUUCUUUCAGUAGAGGCAAAAAUGAUCCUCUACAGGUCCUUUCACACCGGAACUGUUUUAUUGUUCGAUUAUUACAGAUGUCCGAAUAUUUUUUCGGAACACGGCCAAUUUUUCUAAAGUUUUGCAUACUGUGUGUCCACUUCUGACCAAUCAGAUUGCGUGUUGUUGUGACAUCUGAUUCAUCAGUAUAUCCAACAUGGCCGACCGGCUGAUUGUUUACAUGUCGGAGAACAGAGUGGUUUUUGAUAAAAGACACAAAUAUUGCAAAGAUAACGACCUGAAGGACAACUUGUGGAGAGUCAUAGUGGCGGAUCUCUUAUAUGACGAUAUUUGUGUGCUUUAACAGUUUGCUAAACGUUUUUGUUUUAACUUUCAUCUGUGCUAAGUAACUUUAGCUCGUAAGCUAACCUGUUCAGAUACAACAUACCAUAUGUAUUUUCACUGUCUCAAACUCAAUCACGUUGCUGUCACAGCACCAUUAGGUCUCGGUUGUUACCUUACGUUUAUGGAUUAUAGUUUAAUGCGCUUAUCUGGAACUGGCCCCGACUCAGUACAUGCUAUCAUGACAGACAGCCAUCUCAACACUAGUGUCUAAUCAGAACUGAAUCCGGGACACGUCUUUUUCCCCCUGGAAAGUCUCAAAAUCGCAUCAGGCUUGAUGUGUAUAGUCAGGCGUGCCAAAAUUCGCCUCCGAAUAUUUCGUAAUUUCGUGUUCUUUAUUUGCGUCGGUCCUGGUGUGUAAGGACCUUACCAGUUAGAAACAUCAGUGGUUAUUAAGAUGAGUUAUUGAGCUUGAAACACUGGAUCUGUUACCAACAUCAAAAACCUUUGGUUGUUGCGCGGUUGGUAAUUCAACCACAAACUGAUGGUCCACAAAAUUUUAACAGAUCCCGUAUUUUUUGACUUCUUACAGCCAGUUCAAAGAGUGUUUCUGAAACAGGUGAAUAGAGAGUGAUAAUAAUCUGAUCCAGAUUUAACAAAAGCAUGAUCAGCUUGGACACAACGGGUGUAAGUUUUGUACUGUUUCUUAAAUACUCAGAGCCUGGCCCAGUUGGAUACAGACACAGGGCAUGCUUUAGAGGAGGAAGUGUGUGUGUGUGUGUGUGUGUGUGUGUGUGUGUGUGUGUGUGUGUGUGUGUGUGUGUGUGUGUGUGUGUAGGUGGACAGGCCCAGCUGCCUGUGUUAGCCCUCUACAGAGCACUGACCUGAGUGUCAUGGAGCACCAGUAUGAGGCAUAUUAUCCACCUCAUCAAACAGACCCCCUGAAUCACUCUUGACUCUCUCAAUACUCUUUUUAUCUAAUGUACUGUGCGCAUUUCAAAAGGGGGUUAGCUGGAUGGGUGGGUGGGUGUAGGGGGUUAGAGUAACAGGAGAGAGAGAGAGAGAGAGGGGUAAAAGAGAAGGAGAGAAACAGCUUUUUAUGAGAGACUGGAUGGAGAACAGGGCAGAAAGUCUCUCGCUUUGUCCGAGAAUGGAAAUCAUAUUUGGUGGGGGGCCAUCGCUUUUGUUGUGUAUUAAAAGAGUAGUUGAAAAGACAGAGCAUUUCUUUGUGUGUGUAUGAAGUGUGUCAGCAUGUCCCUCACAGUUUCAGUCUUCAGAAUAUGUUAACAUGUGUCUAAGUCUAGAUUUAGAAAUUUGUUUGAAUGCCACAAGCUGCAAGCAGUUUUUUACCACUGGAUCACAAAAAUAUAAGUACUUUGCAGCUGUAUUAAUUAUAGGAAAAGAGGUGGUAGCUGCAUUGAAAGGACUGCUUUCUGAACACUGUGACACAUAAUUGGAUUUUAAUGUGUUUCUAAAUUUCUUGGACAACUUCCUCUCACUCCAGCGCUGGAAUUAGUCUGUUCGGUGUCAGUCUGAAAUUUCAAAGCCACGAUACAACGGCCGAGAAGCCUUUACAUAUCUUAUACUUGGAAUAAGAUCAUAAAGAAAUAUUUGUAAGAGAUGGUGCAGAGAGAGAAAGGUGAACUGAGAUGAGAUAUGAAGAUAAAGUGAAGUGGCCUUACCCUGUCAACCAACAACUAGAGAUACAAACAGAUUGUCUGAAGAUGAUUUUGUAGAUUCAAAAAUGGUCUACUUAUGCAGUUGAAAAAAGAAAUGGCAAGUUAUUCGUGACACAGUCAAGAUAAAUAGCACUUAUAUGAGGGAUAACACCGACACAAAGCCACCGACCGCUCGUCUGAUCGUACACGCGUUAUCAAGCAGACCGCAAACAACCUGCAGUGUUUGACGACACUUGUAUUUGACCAAUCUCUGACAAGGUGUGGGAGCUCUGUGAGAGAAGACAAACAGCAUCCAGCUGGGUUCACAGCUUUCAAGGGCUCCUUUAUCAAGCUCAAAUGUUUGACUGCCACUGAUGAUGCUUAUGUAACUUGGCCGGCUACUGCAAGGGCUCCAGCAGAAAUGCUAACAAGGAUAUUAUCCACCAUCCCUGCCACUGAUCGAUGACCUUUUCACACAAGCACACUAAUUACCCUAAUUUAAUCUUUCCUCUACAGUCUGUCAGUGUACAGGUGUCCAUCCAUUUCAAAUCUACUCAUAAAGGAUUUCUUUUUUUCUGUUUUUGAGGUAGGUCUUGGUCUUUUGCCACAUAAGUAGGUAAUCAACAUAAAACAAGGACAAGUUUUUCUUCCAAGUGCAUCAGAAAAUAUUGUCUCUCAAAAUCUGAGAACAUCAUGAAAAACUUUUUUUAAAUUUCUUUUUUAAAUAGUUUGAUUCAAAACUGUUAGCUUCAGUCCGUUCAAAAUUCAUCACAUAUAAGAUGAAACAUGCUUAAGUUUUGUUGGUUAGUUUGAUGAUUACAGCUAAUAGCUCAUGUCAUCAGAAAUCCAGUAUCUUAAACUAUUACAAUCUUAACAGCCAAUCUAAACUAACACAUCAAUAAAUAUUUGAACAAAUGAAUGAAAAUAGAAUUGUACAAACAGAUAUGCCUGACUUCCAAAAACUAUGUUCAAACUUCAUGCUGGAGUUCAAACACCUUGGAUUUUGAGCCUCUCUGAUCCUCCUCCAGACUUUGGGACCUUUAUUUUCAACUGAGGCUAUGUUCCCACUGCAGGUCAAUUCAGAUUUUUUCAUGUGUGUGAACAGUGCAAUUCAGCUUUUUUCAAAUGUGACCCAGGCCUUUUCUGUACGUCGAUAUAAAUCAGAUAUGUAUCCGAUGUGACUGCAGUGUGGACGCUCAGGUCGCGUUCAUCCGACCUAUACGUCAUGAAUAUGUGACAAACAUCACCAUUGUUCGACAACACAAACAGGCACGGAAAGCAAUUUGUGCUUUGUGCAAAUGCGAGUCACUUCACGGACUCAUUCCGUUCACAUUAGAUGUCGCAUUUGUUGUUGUAAUGUAACAAUCGCACAAAAAGAUCGGAUUUAACAAAAAAACUGAAUUGUGCAUCAUAACCUGCAGUGUGAACGUAGCCUGAGAUACUGAUUUGACUUUCAACUUAAAACGGGACUUAGGACCUCUGAGCAGUUGUCCAGAUCUUGUUAUUCUUAGCCCAGGUGACACUCUCUGACAUUAUCUCUGGUUCAGUAAGGUCUUGAAAGUAGGACUACUACACUUGUAGUCCAGUUUCUUGGCUCAUCUGUGCGUAGAGGAUGCACAGUAGAUGCUCUGACUCCAGCCUCAAUCUAGUCUUUGUGAAGCACCCCUAAGUUCUUGAAUCUGGGUUGUCUGAGUCCUCUUGAGGCUGCACUCAUCCCUAUUGCUUGGUCUUCUUUUCCUCCCUCACCGUUCCCUUCAGUCAUCUUUCAUGAAUCUGCAUCUAUACAGACUCUGUGAACAGCCAGACUUUUCAGUAGUGACCCACUGUGGCUGAUCCUUCUUACAGAAGGGGGUCACUGAUGGUCCUAAUAAACAUCUAGUCAGCAGUGUGAACCAUGACUGUGGUUGACUGUACCUUUAAGGUAGACAGAUCCAUGGUUGGUUCUACUUUAACAGUUAUUUACUCAAACUUGACAUAAAAACUAUUCCAAUAUUUAGGAGAUUAUUUCUUUUAACCCUUGAGUUGUAGACCGUAAUAAUCCAAACCAAAACAGAGGAACUUUUGAAAUAUUUUAGUCCAUAUAUGUGUAGUAAAUUUGGAAUAUUUGACAUUUUCUGUUCCUGAAAUAAAAUAACCCAUGAAAACACUAAACUUGUUCCAUGAUAUUCAGAUUUUUUGAGCUGCAGCUACUUGUUGAUCUGACUGAACCGACUGUCAUCGAUGAUAAUGGUGGACUAAAUUCUUCCUCCAGUUUCAUUCCUUCUGUGGAGUUAACAUGUAUAUCGGUAGUUUUAACUUGGCGUCAGUAGAUAUCAGUUCAGUUAAGCUGAAUGGUUGUAGCAACACUGACUGAAGCUCCCAUGUUGGGAAACAGAUGUGCUGUCUGAGGCUAACAUCUGUGAAGGGUUAGUUUUCCCUCCGCUGGAGGUGGAUCACUGAUGGGCCUGACGAGCAUUAACUUCUCAUUACCAGCUCCGUCUCUUUUGUUGUAUCUCAAUAAAAGAAAAAAGCAAAGCAAAGAACCAACCAGCCUUUAUUUUAUAUAAGUGUGACCAGCUCAGAGAGCCCAGUGCAAACACACAGCAGAACUUUGAACUCCGUGGUUUGGAGGUCAGAACCUGGUCAGACAUUGGGGGGAGGAAAAGAGGCCCUCUGGGUUCAAGUGGAUCCUCUAAAAGUGACCGAGGAGAAUGGGCCUCAGAAACACACACUCACACUUAGACACAUACUUAAACUCCUUUAAGCCACAGACAGAGGUGAAGUGUCAGUGCAGAUGUUUUGUGUUGUGUCCAGCCACCCAUGUGGAGGGCAGGGGGAGCUGGUGACUGGAUGGUCAGCCACUUUUGAAGUGAUUAACAGGCGGACUUUUAUCAGCCCAUUUUGACUCCCAUCUUUACAAAUACAGCUGUUUAGUCACGGUGGCCAAUCACACAUCGAUUCUACCAUGAACAUGUUAACACUGUGAAUUGAAACGUGUCGUACGUGAACUUUCACUGAGGAGACUGAUUAGAACUUUUUGCAGUGGAGGUGUUACUGCUGAAUACAUGUCGUACCCUGCAAAUGUGGACGGACACGUAAAACUCAAGCUGAGUGUACGGUGCAUUUACACAGCUAUCGGCUCAAGGUCCUUUCACCCGGGGACCAUUUUUGUUGUGCGAUUAUUUCGGACGUCGAUAUAUUUUUUUAACUCGUAUCCUGUCAAUUUUUCUAAAGUUAAGCAUACUGUGUGUCCACUUCUGACCAAUCAGAUUGCAUGUUGUUGCAAUGUCAGAUUCACCGGUAUAUCCAACAUGGCUGACCAGCUGAUUGUUUACGUGUCAGAGAACAGAGUGCUUUUUGAUAAAAGACACAAACAUUGCAAAGAUAACAACCUGAAAGACAACUUGUGAAGAGUCAUAGUAUCAGAUUUCUCAUAUAACGAUGGUUUGUUUACUUUAACAGUUUGCUAAACGUCUUUGUUUUAACUUUCAUCUGUGCUAAGUAACUUUAGCUCGUAAGCUAACCUGUUCAGAUACAACAUACCAUAUGUAUUUUCACUGUCUCAAACUCAAUCGUGUUGCUGUCACAGCACCAUUAGGUCUCAGUUGUUACCUUACGUUUAUGGAUUAUAGUUUAAUGUGCUUAUCUGGUACUGGCCCCGACUUAGUACAUGCUAUCAUGACAGACAGCCAUCUCAACACUAGUGUCUAAUCAGAACUGAAAAACAGUCAGUCUGCUGUUGUGUCAGUCUUCUCGCUUUCACCCAGGACGCACCUUUUUCCUCCCGGAAAGUCGCAAAAUCGCAUCGGGCUUGAUGUGUAUAGUCAGGCGCGUCAAAAUUCGCUUCCGAAUAUUUCGUAAUUUCGUGUGCUAUAUUCGUCUCAGCCCCAGUGUGUAAGGACCUUUACUCACUUGAUUUUUUGAUGCAAGGUUAGAACUAAAAAAAACAAACUUUUAAUCACAGCAGCUGUGGUCAGGAUGCAGCUGAAGAGGGUUUGCAGCAGUGUUACAGAUUUAUACACCAUAUUCAUGCUCUUCAAAGUUUCCCAGUAAUAAGAGGGAUCUUUGUCAAUCUAAACAGUCAGUAGCUUUCAAUAUCAAUGUUCUCAAACUCCCCUGCACCAAUCACCCACCUACCCCCCAUCCUGCCCCCUAUAUUUGUACAGCAGGUGAUUAAUGGAUGCCAUUAGAUUGGAGUCUAUUUGAAACUGUAAAGCAGCAGACCAGUGAUGGAGAUGUGCCAAAUGGCUUUAUUGGGUGUUAUCAUCCCAUUUCAGGGCCCCACAAAGUUGGUUAAUGAUUGACGUGCCUGUACCUGUGGAUGGCUGAAACACAUGGUGGACGGGUGAAGUGGAGAUGGAGCUUUGAACAUUUAUGGUAGUUUCCUGGCAAGCAAAAGCAAAUACUCUGACAUUCUGGAUGAUAUGAUUUUUUUAUUUUUUUGCUGUUUAUGCAGAUAAACUGACAAAAAAAGAUUUUAAAAUGUAAUGAAAUUUUGUGAUGUACUGUGAAACUGUUGUGACUAUUAUUCAAAGAAAGUUGGAGUCAGGCUGUUUUCAAAAGCGAGCCAAAAUGAUUAAGAAAAACUAAAAUAAUAAUAAUAAUAAUAAAAAAAAAAAAGCCUUGAUACCUCUGUACAGCAGGUGACAUGACACUUUUUUUUCCCAUCUUCAGCUGUGAAGGCAGUUUCACUGAGAACGAGUUUUGAUCAGUCAGCCAUACAUGAGGAGGUUGUGCACCUUUAUAGCCUGGACUGAGUGUUCGGCUCACAUACAUACCAGAGCAAAGCGAUUUGCUCAAAUGAAUAAUCGGUUGUGCAUAAAGACUAAGGGCCUGAUCUACUAAGAUCCCAAAUACUGAGCGCUAAAUUGCAUGUGCAAACUAAAAAAUUGCAUGUGUUGCGGGUGGUCUACUAUCAUUGCGUGCGCAAUUAACGGGUGCAACAGUGGUGUGGACCGUCCUCUUAUAAGGAGGAUAUUGCGUGCUCUAUCGUACGUCACCAUGGAGAGUUUAUGAGAGCAGAGUGUUUGAAGCCAUAGAGUAGCACAUAUCGUUUUGGGGAACUGCAUAAAAGGCAAGGCAAGUUUAUUUGUAUAGCACCAUUCAUACACAAGACAAUUCAAAGUGCUUUACAGAUACAAGGCUAUAUACUAGAAAACAAAAAAGGGAUUAAAUCGAUUUAAAAUUAAUAAGACAAACAGAUACAUUUUUUUUGUCUGUUCCAUGUUUGACAUUAUUUAUGAAAAUCAUCAUUUACCAGAAAAAUUAAAUAAAUCACAAGCUUUUGGACAAGGACCUUGGCGUGUAUCAUGGCUCUUCUGCAUCCUUCUCCCCACAAUGACUGUGCGUAAUGCUGUGUCAGUUUGCACGUGCUAAACGUGCUAAAUAGAGACACAAAACAGCGACAGCAAUCGGUUUCCGAGUUUGAUAGAUCACACUGCGGGUGCUAAAUGAUUUCAUUUGCACCUGCUCCUCACAGAAUUUUGUGCGUUCUGAUGAUCUACAUACAUUCUGCAUAUUCAUGAAGGCAAAUACACUAAAUCGAUUGCGCGCAGUGUUUUGCUCAUUUGACAGACGCAAUCCUCAGUGCACCUGGUUAGUAGAUCAGGUGUACGUGUGCUAUCAAGUUUGCACGUGUUUUUGCACAUGCAAAACUUUAGGAGAUCAGGCCCUAAAUAUCUCAGAUAUUCAAGCCCCAUUUUUUUUUAAGCCUGGUAGAAUGUUUUUAUUGUUUUGUGUCCUCUAUAUUGUCUGUUGUGUUGUGUAAGACACAAUACUUAAGCAUCUCUCGCUCAUCACUGCAUUCUCUAUGAUCUGGCUGGUUGGACAUCACUAAGCAUUCGCAGACAACAACACACUGGUAUUUAUUCAUCUAUAAAGCUCUGCAGGGUAAACUCCCAGAAUACCUCAGGAGCCUCCUCUCUAUCAACUCUGUGAACCCCAGAGUAGUUGCUUUUGGUCUUAAGAUCCUUUCACACCAGGACAAUUUUUUAUGUGCGAUUAUUUCGGACGUGAAUAUUUUUUUAGCUCAUAAUAUUAUAUUUUGUAAUUUUGCAUGCUAUAUUAGCGUUGGCCCGGUGUGUAAGGACCUUUAGACAGGGCUGGGCAAAACAUUAUUCUCCCAUCAUGCACCAUGGUUAUGGAACACCCUUCAAGAAAUUCUCAGAUUAAACACUCGUGUCAUUAAAUAAUUUUAGGAGUAUCAAUAAAGAAUACAGUAGAGGAGGAAGGUCACUGUUUUUUCAUGAGAGGCCACCUCUUUGAACAGCUGUUACUCUGCUGUUUUAUUGUACAUGCACCUUUAUCUGUUUUAUCUCUUCAUUGACUUUGAGUACUACAUUGGCCAGGCCUCUCUAAUGAAAGAGAUUUUUAAUCUCAAUUGGACUGCUGGCCAGGUUAUACCACUUUAAGGUGUCACCACUAUGUCAGUGUAAAUGCAGAGAGAAAAAAGUGCCCAUGGUGUAGAGCUCAGCGGACUCCUCAUGUGGAGAGUUCCCCUUCAAAAAGUCCACAUAAAUGUCUGUUCUGAAAAAAGAAAUAUUUACUGAAAGCAGAAUCACAACUUGUGCAUUCACAAAACUCCCACACACCUAAAGCAUGAUCAGAUACGGUUAAGGACACUGGGAUCUAUGUAAAAAGCCCUUUGGGGACUAAUAAUGGUUUUACUAACAGAAAGCUAGGAGUCCAGUUAGAGUACUUUACUAAGAUGCAAUUGAGGAUUAAGAAUCCAGUAGCAAUCAUCCCAACAUGAGGUGGGGUUGAAGUAGAUGAGUGCUGAACUUAAAUGUACCACAAAGUUUGGAUGAAUGGACAACCAUAUCAUAAAGAAGGGAUACAUGCCACAGAGGCAGAUGCAGCCUGCAGCCUCUGUGGGUGGAGACUCUCUUGAAGUUGAUGUCAUGUUAAUGAAGACCUACGCCUUUAGGUCACCCAGUCGCCUGCCAUGUUUUGUCUCAGAGCCCAUCCCCCACUCACACAGCAUUUCAGUGAUAGGGCUUUUGUGUGUCUGUGAGAAAGUGUGUGUGUAUAUGUUUUUGGUCCAAGGCAAGAGAAGUGUCUUUUUGUCUUCAUUAUAGUCACUCUGAUCAUUGGAAAUCUAUGAGUGGGGAAAACUGAGCGUAAAUAAUAAUAAUAAUAAUAAUAAUAAUAAGAAGAAGAAGAUCUAUGAUAAACAAAACGCAGUACUGAUGUGGAAAGAGCUGCAAACUGAAAACAGUACAUAAGUAGAAUGUAAGAAGCUGAUAACAGUGAAUCAAAGUUGGCGAGACUGAACUUCAGAUGUCCUUAUAAAGAUCCUUUUAACAGGAAAUGAGUCCAUCAACAGUGCUUACACACACAGUCAUUUAGGCUCAGCACACAUCAGACCUCUUUGAAAGGCCCAUAAUCAGCUGCCCGCUCCUGCUGUCGGCGGUGAAACAUAGAGCUACAGCUGUCGUCUGUGUGUGCUAGCAAACCUCUGGAACUAAUACUAAUACUACAGUGCAUUUUCAAAACACAUGGUCAACAUUUACAAAUCAACAAUUAGUCUGUCGUCUGCCAGCAUGAGAUGCUCGUUGAGCUAACUGCUCCGAUAUUGAUGGUUCACAAACACGCCACACAAAAGUCGUCUGUAGGCUACAUGGUCUUUCUUUUUGCCUUUGUUAUACACCAAUCUUAGGUCGUGUUCACACCUAAAGGUCCGUUUCCUGAUUUGAAUCCAAGGCAAGACGAUACAUUUGUUUUGAUUGUUUCCAGAAAACUGAAUCGGAAGUCACAUGACCGCGAAUAUCGUUCCGUUAUUGGUCAUUAGUUUAUGCGGGAAUACAAUCCCUGCUCUGCUGUCUUCGCCUGUCAUGAGAGUUUGAGGUCAGUGUUCACACUGACCCAAAUGAACAGCACCAAGGGGGUAAACGCUCCAGGGUUCGGUUCAACCAGACCCAACAAGGGUGGUGUGAAUGCACCCUAAAACCCUUUCUUCAUUUACUAACAGCACCUGCAUGCUGUAAGUCCCUGAAUCAGCACAGGGAUUCAGCACCUGGAUGUGGUCUGUGAUCAUUUUCACUUCACUGUGUCUGACGGUCGUAUAAGCGACAGAGCUUAUAAUAGGAGACCAACAUGUCCUUUGAUCAACUCUCUUUCUCAACAGUUUUUCUUUUACCUUUUUUCCCCAAAUUGUUUUCUCCAACUUUUGACUUUCUUACCAUAAUGUUGAACUUACUCUUUCAAUGCAACAUGCAAAAAGGGUAACGAAUCAAAUAACGGUUUGUGUGUGGCGCCAUCUUGCGUAGCUGCCAUAACUGUGGCGGUAACUCAGCGUCUCCUGCUGUAAACAGACCCUGACAGCGGUGUGGACAAUGGGAUUAUAAAAGGUUACCAUACCAGCCACCCAUUUGUGAUUCAGAGCUUUGUGUGAUUCAGAGCAUUAUUCUACCAUGCUCAGGUCAUAGUCAGUCAACAACUGCAUUUUAUCAUCUCAGACUAAUUACAUCAGCUAUUAGACUUUCAAACUGAAUAUAAAGCUCAAAUUGUCUUAUAACACUUAUAACUAAAGAUUGUAAUCAAGAUGUCACUCAGUAACGGGCAAAAUAUACUUGAUCUGAUGAAAAUGUCUCUCCUCUAAGUAGCUGCUCAGUCUCUGUGAGAUGUUUAUUCUUACACAGACUUACUCUUCAUGUAGUUAAGGUCUUUACACACCGGGGCCGGCGCAAAUAUAUAACGCGAAAUUACGAAAAUUUCUAUAUAUAUUUCUAUAUUUCUAUUAUACACAUCCUAAUGGUGCUGUGACAGCAACACGAUUGAGUUUGAGGCAGUGAAAAUACAUAUGGUAUGUUGUAUCUGAACAGGUUAGCUUACGAGCUAAAGUUACUUAGCACAGAUGAAAGUUAAAACAAAGACGUUUAGCAAACUGUUAAAGCACACAAACCAUCGUCAUAUGAGAAAUCUGAUGCUAUGACUCUCCACAAGUUGUCCUUCAGGUCAUUAUCCCUGUAAUAUUUGUGUCUUUUAUCAAAAAGCACUCUGUUCUCCGACACGUAAACAAUCACCCGGUCGGCCAUGUUGGAUAUACCGGUGAAUAAGACAUCACAACAACACGCAAUCUGAUUGGUCAGAAGUGGACACAUUGUAUGUGAAACUAUAAAAAAAUUGACCAUGAUCCGAAAAAAAUAAAUGCUGUGAUAUCGCAGGACGGGAAUAUGUCGCUGAUGUGAACGCUUGUAUUGACAGGAUAUGGGUUCGAAAAAAAAAAUAUUGACGUCCGAAAUAAUGGCACGAAAAAAAACGCUCCUGGUGUGACAGGACAUUUAAGGCAUAAGCGUCAGGCUCUCGAUAAAGUCGCUGAAACUCUACAGGUUAUAUCAGAUGCCACCUGCAUUGUUAUCAAAAGUGAAAUUGUGAAAAUAGCAAAUGUCAAAGAGAAAAUUGAUCACAGUUUGUCUUAAAACACACUGACAUUUUGAGCAGUCACCACCACAGUAAUGGCCAUUUGUAAUUGGUCUGUACUUCACCUACAUUAAAUUAAAAACAAACACAUUUAAGAAAUCGUUUAAGGCUUCACAACAUUUUUGUUCAAGAUCUAAUAAACAUUUUUAAUAACUUAUAUCAGUGUUCAUGAAAUGUUAUAAUGCAGUAAUAUGUUUAAUGAAAAACUGAUAACAACUCCUAAUGAAAUUUUGAGAACUCACUGAAUAUUAAAAUGUAGCACAUUAUUUUUAUGUGACUUCAUCAAGUGUAACUGAGAAUAUAGACCUCUGACAGCUUCACUUUCUUUCUAUCUAUCUAUCUAUCUAUCUAUCUAUCUAUCUAUCUAUCUAUCUAUCUAUCUAUCUAUCUAUCUAUCUAUCUAUCUAUUUAUUUAUGUAUUUGGUGGACAUUGUUUGAGAUUGCCAUAGCUAUACUUGAUGACAGCAAAUAAACAAAGUUAUGAGUAAAUAAGUCAUGUACUGUAACCAGUGUCCAUCUAAUCAUAUUAAAACUGUUGUGAUGAUUUCUUUGUUGUAUAUUCUAGUUCAUAUUUCAUUUUAUUUAAAGCACCCACACUCUUGCUAGGGCGUGUAAGUAAUAAUUACACCGUUUUCCAUCUGAGAAUCACAGAAAUGAUGACUUCUUGUGGUGCACUAAAUCAGUUCUGUGUGAUUUAUAAAUGUUUUGCAGUUAGGUAUGAUGUUUAAUAAAUCAUACCAUUAUGCUCAAGUUUGCCCUUGUUCAGAAUAAGCAGGCCUGGGGGAGGAACAUAAAAGCUCAUAUCUUAAAAUGAAAUUGAAUUAGGGUAGAAGAUCUGUGUGUAGGUGCAGACAGACAAGCAGGUGCAGUCUGUUUAGCUCUGGUCCAUCUCUGGUCUAUGUUUCCUCACAGUAUUGUGUUGGACCUUUGUCUUCAGUCUCAAUGAUGGGCCUCUCAGCUCUUAAACACAAACAGAUAGAAAAGUCUUCAAGCUAGCCACCAUAUUACUGUUACUACAAUGGCACUAAAAGACCAGUUCAAUAAUAACUGCCUUCCCUUUCUUGAGUUUCAAAAACUGCUUUCUCAGGAGCCUCAAGUGGCUCCUUCUUGAGUGGUAAGAGUAAACAUGAACAUCCCUUAAGAUCUCUGAAAUCACUCACCGUCCGCUGGGGACAAUAUAGGCAUUAGUAAUCAAGAGUAUAUUCAUAGAAGUGGUCAGUCUCUGCAGGGCCUCAGCAUGGAGCUGUGAGGAAACCAAAGACUGGAGCUGGAAGUGAAUACUGCUUUUAACCCUGACACCAUUGUGCUGGCUGGAGCUAAAACAGGCAACCACACAUAAUGAUUCCCUUUAGGUUUGAAGGGCUGACCUCACAGCGAUAAAGGCGGAGAAGCAGGUGAGUGACGGGGUAAUGUGACAAACAGCUGACUGACCUUAUCUGACAUGAAUUAUGCUUAUUUAUAUGUAUUAUAAAUUUAAGAUUCAGUAUCAAAGGAAACAAGAUUUCUCAGAAGUGAAAGUGAACAUCUGGCCUAUUAGUUUUGUAUAUAACCCUUAUUUCAGCCCAUUGAGAUUAAAAAUCUCUAUUUCGCUGGACACCUGGCCAAGGCAGCAGCAAAACCACACAGCUGCAGACACAGACACACAGGGAACCACAAUACAGUUCAAAAAAAUGGACAAUAAUAGAUCAACAAGAGCAACCAGGUCAUCAAACAACAAAGAUACUCAAAAGACUCUUCUUCAAAUUCUUUCAUUUCAGGUUUAAAAACAUUCAAUGACUCUUGGAGUUUCAAGUCAUUCUGUAGAAAAUUCCAGGAGGAGGGUGAAAAAUACCAAAAAGGCCUUUGACCAACUUCAGUGAGAGCUUUGUGACAGAAGCAUAAAGAAGUCCUGAGGGUUGAGAAAAUUGUCCAGCACAAUGUAACAAAAACACAAAAAACUGUGGUAGCACUGCGCCAGAGACGGCCAACCAACCCUACAAAGAGACAGCCAGUCCAGGUUUAAACAGUCAGUCCAGGUUCAAAGAGUCAGAGUGGAAACUUUGCACCGUUCAUCACCAUUCCAGUACCAUCCCUACAGUAAAGCAUGAUGGUGGCAGCAACAUGCUGUGGGGAUGUUUUUCAGCAUCAGGAACAAGAUUCAUCUUUGAACAGGACAAUGACCCUGAGCAAACAGCUGAGAUAACACAGCAGCCCAGACUUGAACCCAACUGAACAUCUCUGGAGAGAUCUGAAGAUGGUUGUGCGCCAAUGCUCUCCAUCCAACUUAUUGGAGCUUGAGAGGUUCUGCAAAGAAGGAUGGGAGAACCUGUCCAAAAAUAGAUGUACCAAGCUUUUAGCAUCGUACUCAAAAAGACUUGAGGCUGUAACUGCUGCCAAAGGUGCAGCUACAAAGUACUGAGCAAACAUUGUGAAUACUUAUGUACAUGAUUUAUUUCUGGUUUUUUUUUUUUUGGUUAAUAAAUUUGCAAAAUAGUGGUGUAGUGCCUACAAUAUACACCUUCAAUAUACACAUUGGUGUACCAAAGACAAACAAUAUUCUAAGUGACGAAAAGUACCAUAAUGAAUAAAAUAUGACAUAAAGUACAUACAGGUCAAGAUAAUAUCAAUAUAAAAACGACAACCAGAAAAAAAAAUGAAUUUAAGUAAAGAAGAUAAAUGAACCAGUCAUGACAUUAGGUAUAAUCAAGAAUAAUCUCUUUCUACAAGCUAGUCUUUCACCAACUUUCAUCCAUGACAAUUCAUUAUGCAUUAUCUCAAUGCCGGUCCUAAUUGACCAACGGAUAGCUAGUCUCCCAGCUCUGUGAUUUUGAAUUGUGCCAAUCACCUGAUAAGUUUUAAACCUGUAUUUUGGAGAGGAAAGCAUUUUUGAAGUUUGUAUGAUGGUGCUAUCUGACAGUUAGUCUGAGACUGCAGUUUGGGACAAGACCACGUGUUGACAUGUGACCGCAGUGACCAUGUUAAAGAUUAUCUGUUUCUUGGAUGCUUAAUGAAAAACACCUCCCAGCCGGUGAUCACAGCACUGGAGCUAUCAGACGAAGACAAACAGGCACAGGUUGUACACACAGUCAGCUCACCACUAUUGAUCUUUGGUUAAUGUGUGACUGCUGGUUCAGCUCUGGAUCAACACUGAAGUGCAUUUAUCAGUGUCAAAUCCAACGCCAUCAAGACUGUGGCGGUACGCCGGAAGACUUCAGCCUUCCCUCACUGCAAUACUUACAUGUAGACAGUUACGUGACAUCUUCCACAUAAAUGAGGUCAUUUUAUCUUAAAUAGGCUUUCUAGCACAUCCUUUUGGGUUAGCUCUACACUUUAGUCGUAUUGACCUCAGGGUGACCAAUGUGCAGGAUGAUCAGAACAAUUAAGAAAGAAGGAAUUAUUUUAGUUUAUAAUACUUUACUCAGUAGCAGCAACUACUCAUAAGUACCCAUCCGCUGUUUGUCUGGGGUACAGGGACAUUUCUCAGUGGUCUGCUGUGAGCAGUCAGUGUGAACAGACCUCUCUGAAAGCACCAUCAUUUGUGGGACUCAGGGGUUUGGUUUAUUGUGCUGUAAGUUUAAGUGCUACAAGGUCCUGACCACUUACAACAAAAUAUGAUGUUGUGGACAACUUUAGUUCCAGCUAAACUAGUCAAGCAAGCUGGUGAUAAUUAAUCUACAGCUAGUACAAAAUAACAAUGGCAACAUUGAGGCAUGGCAUUAGCCAUGACAUACACUGAUCCAACAGUACUCUCGUAUUGUGCAGAUGAAAUUAUAUUCCCUCUAUGACAGUGGUUCUCAACCGCGGGGGCGUGGACUCACUGGCUAUUAGUACAAAGGAGAUGUAGCAGAGUCCUAAUCGGUUGGACUGUAGACCAAUUUGAGAACCCCUGGUGUAGAGGAAAGGUGGAGCAGAGAUGGAGAGUAAGAAAGAGGCUGACCCCUUAGAUGCCAUCCUGAGUGUAUUAUACUUGAUUUAUUUACAUGUUGUUCAAAACAUUUUUGCAUAGGAAAUUGGACUUCUAAAAUACACAUUAGCACAUCAGUUCAACUGGAAUCACACCGAAACAAACUUCUAGUCAGACUAAGGGUGUUUUUACACCUAGAAGUCCGGAUCAAGGUUCGAACCAAGGUCCGUGUUUUUGUUACAUUGUAUACAUUUGGUUCGGUCUGUUAAGGUUUCACACUGUCAUUAUUGCAAACGGACUAACAGACUUUACAUGACGUACCUAUGGGAUAUUGUCAUCAACUACAUGCUUUGCAUGUCUCUGUAGUUUACAUUGAUUGGUCAUUUGGCCGGCGGGCAUCUGACGUCAACACGUUAAAUAACAAGGGUCUUGAAUAUUGUAAACAUGAAUAAAAUCAUCAUUCCCCCCAUCAUAUUACUGUUGAUUUUUAGCUACCAACAGCAAUAACUUUAAGAGCUGUACAUGAGGCUGGUCCAAGUUCAUCUUAUGAAUUUUAUCAUUAGACGACAACUUUAUCAACAUCGACAGGAAAGGAAAAGAAAGUAAACAAUCCUCAGAGCCACUGCAACAACAACUCUGGAGAGAAAGUCUUUGUUGUAAAAUUUUGAAAAGCUAAGCUGUCAAUGCUGAAGUAUCUACAAUAUUGUAAAAUUUUCAGUUCGUGGACAAUCUCCAUUACGCAUAAUAACAAACGCUUUCACUCUGAGCAUGAACUAGACCGCGGUUCAGUUUGGUCCGGACCGAGACCACCUCUUUUGGUCGGACCAAGGUUCGGCUGUUUGGUCCGGACCAAGGUCCUGGGGAGGUUUCACACCUAUCAUUUUAAUUGAGACUAAACAGAAAAGUCAGACAAUCCAGACCAAACGAUGUAGGCGUGAAAGCCCCCUUACGUACCUGGAUAAUGGGAAAGGAUUUUAUCUUCUGUGUCAACACUUAGACUGAAACUGGCCUCAGCUUUCUACAGAGUUUAAAUGCUGAGCUUUGAUACAAAAGUUGAAUGGCAUAACCAUGUUACUAGCAAGCCAAACUUCAAACAAACCUCAGCAAAGGAAGUAGGGGAGAAAAAAAAUAGAUGAAGCUUUGGGAUUGUUUGUUGAAAAGGUUCUGAGCUAUAGAAAAGAGUGUUUUCACUAUGUAUAUCCCAUCGUACAUUGCUCUGAAACUGAAUGUCUGAAACUGAAACUGAGGUGUGAUCCUAAACUUGUGACCAAAUCAAGAAAGGAGGUACCCUUUUUUAGGGCACAAACUUCCAGAAGAUUAAGUAUUUUGGCUUCCUAAUCACUUUUUUAAUGUUGUAACAAGAAGUUAAACACGCUCAUGAAAUGCAGCCAACUUCAGUUUAAACCCAUGUGGGGCUCUUCCAUGCUCAGAGUCAGAGUCCAGUAUUUUGGAGGCCUAAAGAGUGAAGGAAAGCCUUGUUAUGCUGGCGGAUGAAAUAUGAAAAGUUGGAACUUGGUUGACUUUCAGGUAUUUUAUUUCAUUCUUUUACCAACCAGCUUUUCUGGACUAAACCUCAUACAACAGACCUGUUUAUGUUAACGACUCAUCAGAGAGGGAGACUGCAGACUUAACAACAAGCCCCAGGGUCAGACAGAUCAUGACUGGGGGCCACUUCUGUGCCAUCAUUGAGGGGCCACAGCCUCACGGCCUGGAAAGUCCUGAGCAUGAAUUAUUUGUAAGAUAUCAGACUAACACAAUUUGAUUUUUACUGUGCACAGACUGUGCCCUUUAACAAAGUUGUUUUCUUGUCUGAACUGAGGUUUAAGCAGGUAUAGAUAUGGAAAUGUGGCAGCUAGAUCUGCAACAAGGGAGGCCGAUGAUUCUGUUCACAGUCUAUUGUGAGCUACAAACACCUACACAUUUACUGUCUUGUCUCAGUGCACAAAGCACAUCAGGAACCAGGCAAGCAGGAGGCCUGUCUGUGUUUCUUCUUUUUCCACUUUGACUCUUUCUUCUCUGCCCCCUCAGACUGAGAGAGAGAGAGUGUGUUUUACUGUGACAGGCCAUCUCAUCCAGAGCUAAACACGCAGUGACAGAAAAACACCCACCAACACUCCCAACCAUGGCUAAUGUGACAGCCCAGGCUGCUAUUCAUCCACUCAAUUACACAUGGGUACGCGCGCGCACACACACACACACACACACACACACACACACACACACACAUAGCUAACACAAACAGAGUUCCCCUCACUCACUCACUCAGUCACAGUCACACCCCAGUGGCACACAGGGCCUUUCUAACACAUGCUUUCACUCCAGUUGAUAAUGUGACAAGUAGGUGAUGUGAGUCCCUCCCACAGCCCGGUCUUUUACUGACUUUGGUUCAUUGUUGUGGAUGUCUGAGAUGACAAUUCAGGUACAUUUACUGUUUGUAGCUUUUUAUAAAAAUACAAUGAAACAAAAAAAAAACAUUUUUUUCUCCUUUUUUUUAAUCUGAAGAACAAGAACUUUAACCCUCAACUGUUUUUGUAGUCCGAUCUUUCUGUUGCUUGGAUCGAGCAGUUUUGACCACAGUUGCUCUAAGUGACUCACUAAAUUCAUUCUCUGUACUAAGGAGGUGAAAGUAUGUAUUUUUGGAGCUGUCAUUAUUCAACUUAUUUUUGAUGGUCAUAAUUGAAAGGUCUGGUUCUUGUGAUGGGGAGCAGAAAGCUGGCUUUUGAACUGUGCACUCAGGCUGGUCACUCUUGUCUUUGGAGCAGAGGAUGCUAUGUGUCCAAGAUUUCUGGAAGAAUGCCUAGUUUUCUCUAACCAGGCCACAGCACAGUCUUCCACUGUGACUCAUAAACAUGCACAAGCCCAGUGAAGUAGAAACUGUUACUCAACCAUGUUGAUACAGUUUUCAUGGUAUGCAGUUUUAGCUCAUACAGUGAUUCCCAUUACAGAGUCAUGUCUGUUUAAAAUGCAUUGCCUUCCAGUGUUGGCUGAUGGCUUUGUCCUUUUUUCACAGAGAUCUUUCCAGAUACUCUGAAACACUUCAUAACUUUUUGUUCUGCAAAUGAUGAAAUCCUCCAAUUCUUAGUAAUUUGACUCUGAGGAACGUUAUUGUAAAUUUUGCUGAACUAUUUGCCCUCCUCUCUGGGUUUAAUUGAUUUUAAAACCAUUAAAUUAUGUGUUCAUUAACUUUUAAAGCAGUGCUUUCCACAGUUUCCAAUUGGACCAAACAGGAGAGACCACCAAAAAGUGGGGCUAGAACCCGAACACAGAGUUCACCUGUUGCUGAUGUGGACUUCUCCUGCAGGUUAUCAUCCCUUCAGAAGUUCAGAUACUCUGGACCUACAAUACUUUGCUGAUCAAUCAAUGUUUUCGAGUAAGAUGGCUCUCUAUAAGAUGACAACAGUUGUAGAUCUCACCUGCUACUCAACAUACUGUCUAUCUAUUACAGUUAGAAAUGCAGGGCAACAUAUGGAGGAGGCCUGAAUUUCAUACUCCAUCAUAAAAUAUAAUUUUUUAUGGAGCCUAUACCCCAAAUCUGACACAACACUCUCACUUCACAAGGUCUGAAGCUUCCUGCAUGUUUCCCUUUAUUUGUGGCAGUAUCUGUCCUCUGAGAAAGCUUAAGGGAAGGUGGAUUUCACGUGUUGCUAUGUGAUCUGGAUAAAUUGACCCUCAAUGACUUGACUUUUUCAGCCUACAAAACGGCAUGGCUGCUCCUGAAAGGCCUACAUCAUGUCUGUGUGACAGUGGGCUGGCUGCCAUGCCAGAUUGCUUCGGUCAUUCUGGUCAUUACAGCUCCAUCUAACUGACCGCAGUCAUAUUGAAGAAAAUUGAAUGUUCCGGGGUUGACCUCUGCUGGCCUGACCUUCACCUGCUCCUCUGACCACAAGCUUUAAAUCACCCUACCCCCCUCCAUUCACAAUGCUGGCCGAAGGUCCUGAAGAAAGGCCAGCACAUCCAUUCACAGAGCAGGACCAUGGGCCAUGAGAAAGGACAGCGCCUGCCAGGUCACUCUGGACUCUUUGUAGAGGCUGAAGCUAAUGGCACAGCGAGCACUAAAAACACAAACACUGCCAUUCACCAGAGUGGGCCAAAACAUACAAUGGAUUUAGAGGAACAACGCCUCCUCAAUCAGAAUAUAGACUAGUCAUGUUGUGACCCACGUCUUCACACAGUCACACGUGAUCUGUGGAUUUGAUGCCAAACUCUCAGGGUUUUUUGUUCACUGGUGCAUAACUGAUAACCCAGAGAAGAGGGUUGAUGACGUGAGCUUAGAGCUGAUUUGAUUACUCUUGUUGAGGCCAUGGUGAUGAUCACUUUUCACUCUAAUGGCAGAUUUCCAUGCAGGAAUAAUGUAAAAUCAUGACUUAACAGCAAAGCAUCUGAUAAAAACUAAACCAGGGAUGGGCAGAGAGAAACAACGACAAACAGCACGCAAAAUGGGAAAAUAUGGAUUCAACUUCUCUUUUGUGUCUAUUGUGAAAUGCUCUGACCACUCACCAAAUGUGAGUCAAAGGAUGAAAACAUUAUUGAGCAAGUUGUUCAACCAAAAAUAAUCGACAAUAAUCAUAAAUAUGAUAAUGUAAGACUGAGGAAAAUGAUGUCUAUCACUCUGAUGCAUGCUGGGUGACAGUGUUGAUGGUAGCUGUUUAAGACUGAAGGUCCUUACACACCGGGGCUGACGCGAAUAUAGAACGCGAAAAUACGAAAUAUUCGGAGGUGAAUUUUGACGCGCCUGACUAAACAUAUCAAGCCCGAUGCAAUUUUGCGACUUUCCGGGGGGAAAAAGACGCAUCCCGGGAAGGACUUUUGCUGGGGAAAGUCCCGCCUCCUUCGUCUCUGAUUGGCUAGAACAGCUGGAAACGUUAUCACACGCUCAAGCCAAACAGUCAGGACUUAUAGCCAAUCAGUGGCGAAGAAGGGCGGGACCUUCCCUUAACAAUCUACAGCGUCCCGGGUGGAAAUGAGAAGAUAAAAAUUGAGUCUACUUCAACUUCAAGUGAUGGUGAAUUGGUACUCCUUUUGCUUUCUCAAAAGAAAGAUAAACGUAGCACAUGGGUGCAUCAAAUAUUACAAAAAAGAAGAGAACUUACUGAGUUUCACUGCUCGGUUCAGGAGCUGUAAUUGUACCACGGUCGCCUCAGAACCUGUUUUUGGAUGUCCGUUAGACAACUUGAAGUUCUGCUGAAACAAUUAACUCCAAGUUUGAAGAGGCAGAGGACUAGACACUGGUGUUGAGAUGGCUUUCUGUCAUGAUAGCAGAGGUGGGAAUUGUGGAGUCAGCAAGUCAUCUCCAUGCCAUGUAUUUGUUCUGCUAUGUCACUGAACCAGCUGCUUUCAAUGAGCAGCCAGGAAGGUGAGCUCAUUAGUGAAGGCACCUGAUUCAGUAACUGAGCAGAACAAAUACAUGACAUGGAGAUAACUUGCUGACUCCACAAUUUCCACCUCUGCAUGAUAGCAUGUACUGAGUCAGGGCCAGUACCAGAUAAGCACAUGAAACUAUGGUAACAACCAUUAGCUCACGUUAGCACAGAUGAAAGUUAAAACAAAGACAUUUGCAAACUUUUAAAGCACACACCAUCGUCAUAUCAGAAAUCCGAAGCUAUGACUUUUCACAAGUUGUCCUUCAGGUCGUUAUUUUUGUAAUGUGUGUGUAAACAAUCAUAAACAAUAAGCUGGUCGGCCAUGUUUGAUAUAUCGGUGAAUCAGACGUCGCAACAACACGCAAUCUGAUUGGUCAGAAGUGGACACACAGUAUGCGAAACUUUAGAAAAAUCGACCGUGAUACGAAAAAAUAAAUGCCGCAAUAUCGCAGGACGGGAAUGAUGUGGACGUUUGUAUUGACAGGAAACGUGUUCGAAAAAAACACUGACGUCCGAAAUAAUCGCAUGAUAAAAACGGUCCCGGUGUGAAAGGACGUUUAAUCUGAGACUUGAGUCAUACAUGUGAAGAGUUCUUCGGAUUUGGAAAAAUGACAUGAUUGUCACAACUUCUCUGUCAAACUGUCUCUCUCUAAAAACAAACUCAAUGAGUUUAUCAAAAGCUGGUUAUUAAGUUCUACCAGGAGUUUGAAUCUGCAACAUCUCACUGUCAACACUUAAGCUUGUAUGAUAUCUUGAUUCUUUAUCUUUAUGGAGUAUUUUUUCAUGACUCCUCAGUGUAAUGCUAUACUGGGCAACCAUCUGCUCAUCUGCUAAGGGAGAGACACAUAAAUGCAUCAAAUUGAAAGCAUUCAUCAAAUGCUCUCAUAUUUUGGCUAAUGGUGAGCUGAACAUCUAAAUUAACAACUCAUGAACGUAAGAACAUGAAUGUCAAGAUCCUUUUUUCUUCUUCUUCUUCUUUGUUCGUUUAAAGAGAUGUGAAAACCAUCGCACAAAACCCUCCUCAUCCCCCUUGAUGAAGAUUCCCACUGUGUAUUUGAGUAUUAUAAAAACUGAGGUUAUAAUCUUAAACCAAAUACUGAGCAAACUAAUGAAAGUUAAAUGUAUGAUUUCAAGUUUUCAUUGCUGCUGAUUUCUCCCCAUAUUUUAUUGGUAGACAACACACAAAUAGGAAGCUCUGCUGACAGAGAGGGGCAGUUUAAAGGUGAUGAGCAUGAGCUAGUCCACCUGUCUGCUGAAGUACCAAAGAUCACAGACUCAAAGACAUCCAUCGCUUUCACACCAGCGCUAUUUGGUCCGCUUUAAACGGACGAGAGUCCAUUUCCUCAGAUAGUCCUCUUCGUUUGUGAAGGUGUGAAAGAUCAUCCAAACUCUGGUACGGACCAAACAAGCAAACUGUGGUCCACCUGAAAAUGUGGAUCUCGAUUUACUUGCAAGUAAACCCUGGUUUGGUUCGUAAUGAAGCUAUACGCAGUACAUACACAGUGCAUCUUGGGUAGAGGAAGCAUGGCGCGCACUCCAAACCAAAACAAACAUGGCGAGAGGACAGACGUGGACAGACAAAGGGGUUAAAGUUCUCCUUGAAAUAUGGUCAGAUGACAGCAUAAACCUACUUCUGACAUCCACUGACAUCCCCAGAACAGCCAACUUCACAUGAUGCUCCAUCUUUACUGCUGUUUUUUCUGGAGCAGGACAGAGGGAUUUUCCCUCCUACUUUGUUCAUUCGACGAGCGUCCCUUUAAGCAACGUGAUGCUGCUCGGAAAGUUUGUGCGCUUUAAAAAUCACAGUGUGAAAGCAGAACCGAAAGAAGUGAUAAAUGCAUCAAUGUUGCGACUUUCAGCUCAGAACCACUUGGUCAGGUGUGAAAGCAACCUUAGUCUGAAAGGCUCCACUUUUUCUCACACAUGCACGCACGCACACACAAACUAAAGGAGGAGGGGACUUAUUUUUGACUGAUUAAGUUGGAUUAUUGUAAGGUCAGAGUUUUCUAUUAUUAGGGGCAUGGCAGACCUAAAUGCACAGUCGGUAGCACUCUGUAGCUGUUUGCGAAGAGGGUGAGACCAUGUCUCUAUAUUAAACAGAAUGUGUUUCUAAUAUAAUGCCAAAUGGCUUUGCCAGAGUCAUUAUAUUCAUAGAAAAACAUUGAACCACAAACAUUAAAAUGACAUCAUCCCACUCUAGGAUAGGAAAAAUCUCCAAAUGAAAAUACUUCGUAAGAAGACUGAGAAAACUUCUAUUCGUAGCACAGGUGUUGCAGGUAUGCAACAAACGUAAAGGUCCUUACACUCCAGGAACGAUGCAAAUAUACAACAUGAAAUUACAAAAUAUUCAGAGGCAAAUUGUGACGCGCCUGACUACACACAUCAAGCGCAAUGCGAUUUUGUGACUUUACGGGAGAAAAAAGAUGCGUCCCGGGUGGAAGCGAGAAGACUGACUCAACAGCAGACUGACUGAAAACAUAUGAUUAACACAUGAUAAACACAUUCAGGCCUUUUGGGUCAUGAGUGCGCUGUCUGGAUAUUAACUUCCUUCAGGAGAAACAAGAAAAUCUUCAGAAAGACUGAAAAGGAUUGUAGCAGCAUGUGGGCCUGACUCUCUAAGACCAUACUCAGAGAAUAGGUGACCAAAGGCAGACAGACAGCAGAUUGAAAUGUCCUCACACCCUCCGAAGUUAUGUCAUGUUCUGCAUAGUGACACUCUGACAAGGAUCAGCUAACUUGGACCUGGACUGAAUUGAGUUCACAUUCAAUCAGUUAUUCAGUUUACAGUAAAAUAACCUUAUCUGCUCCACUGCUGUAGAUGGAAGCACUCCAUAAUGAGGCAUCAAUAUUCAUUCAUCUCUUUGAAGGGACUCUGUUUCUUCCACUUGUUUUUCACUGCAGGACAUUAUGAUACAAACAGAUCAAGGUUCAACAGGUGCAGGUCCCUUUAAGCCGUCCUCGUCCCAUCCAGCUUUUCACUCAGCCCAUGAAUAUUCAAACACUCACCCACACUUUAAUCUGUCUUCUCAGCCAUGGGAGAAGCAAAUGGAUGUAGUAUCACACACAGAUACAAACAAGAAGCUGUAAAGAGAGAGGCAAAGUAGAGAAAAAAACUAUGUGAGUACACUAUAGAGCAUCAAAAAGCAAGUAUACUCCAACUACAAAGUUAUCAGUACUUCUUUGAUGUCCAGCAUAAAUAUCAGCUGAUCUGGUGCUGAUGUUUCGAUAAAUCGGGGGCCUUACAGGGACACGUUUAAAUGUAAAUAGAAUAUUUGCAGAACUGUCCUCUUCACAGUCAACACAGGCUGUUACAUGCAGUUAAAGUGCUGAACAGGCAGCGUGUUCAUCAAAUGUCUGUGGCCAUCAUUAUAAGAUUUUGUGAGUUUAACACCUUAGAUCACUCAGUGAAUGAGAUGGUCUUAAAGGUAUGAGAUCAUAGAGGGAAUUUUCAUCUCAUCCUUGCCAACAUGCCAACCAAACAGCUUGUUUUUGAAAAUUAUGAUUAAUCUCAGAGUGAUGGUUAAUGCCUUGCUUGGAGAAUUAAUUGAAUGCUCUGAAAUAAAUGUUUUGAUCUUGACUUAUAAAUCUAUUGGUGAAAUAAAUGUGGUACAGAUAAAGGUCCUUUCAGACGUCAGUAUUUUUUCUUUAACCUAUAUCCUGUCAAUUCAAGUGUUCACAUCAGCAACAAUACUGCAUUUAUUUUUUCGGGUCAUGGUCGAUUUUUCUAAAAUUUCGCAUGCUACGUCCCCACCAGAUCUUGAAAAAAUAAUCCAUGCUUUCAUUUUCUCACUGGACUAUUGUAACUCUCUCCUCCCUGGUUUAAAAAAGAAAUUACUCUCCAGCCUCAGACUAACUCAGAAUGCAGCAGCUCGGCUUUUAACUGGUUUUAGUAGACGGCAUCACAUGACCCCAAUUUUAGCCUCCCUUCACUGGCUUCCUGUCAGUUUCAGAAUUGAUUUUAAUAUUUUAUUGAUUACUUUUAAAGCACUCAAAGGACUUGCUCCAAGUUUCAGAGCUUUAAUACCAUAUGAGCCAACUCGCAGCCUCAGACCCUUGCGGAAGGCCUCCUGGUCGUUCCAAAGUCGAGGCUCAAAUCUAAAGGUGAUAGAGCUUUCUCCAUCAGAGCUCCUCUACUUUGGAAUGACCUGCCAGAGGAGAUAAGGCGUGCAGAGACAGUCGCUUCUUUUAAGUCAAAUUUAAAAACUCACUUUUACAGACUUGCUUUUAUGUGAUGCCGUCUUUUAUUUUUUAUCUUUUUUCUUUUCUUUUACCUCUUUUAUCUUAUUUCGACCUACUGUCCUUUAGCCUUUGUUUUACUUAUACUCUUUUCUUAUUUCACCUUUUAGACCUUUUAUUGAUUUUAUUGUGUUUUCCUGCUCAUUUUUGUUAUUCCAUUUUAUCAUUAAUAUCAUUAUUAUUUUAUUAUGAUUUUGUUAUCAUUAUUAAUAUUGCCUUUUUAAAUUUACUAUCCUGUUUACUGCUGUCUGUCCCCCUUUUUUUAUUACAUUUCUUUUUCUAACCUAUUUUAUGUUUUUAUUUAGGUCCUCAUGGUCUCAUUUUAUGUCGUAGGGUUCUUGUAUUGUCUGGGUUUCUUAUGACAAAUGAAAUUGGCCUUCAAUUCGGAGGCCUUGUUUUUAACUGAGCUUUUGUUUUUUAUUCAUUUUUAUUUCCAUGUGCUGAUGCUUUGCAACUGUUUGUCAAAGCAUGUUGUAAACUUUUGUUUUUAAAAGUGCUAUCAAAAUAAAGUUUUUAUUAUUAUUAUUAUUAUUAUAAUUAUUAUUAUUAUUAUUAUAAUUGGUUUGGAAAUGUUGAAGCUUCCUUGUCUCUAAAAGCUUCGGUAGGAAUCAUAGGACAUCCACACAGUCUAUUCUGUCCAACCUUUUACAAGACCUUGGUAUGGGGUUUCCUUUCAAAUGGCUUUGUAAACAUGGUUUUAAGACUCCAAUAUUUGCCUUUCAAUUGGUUCAAUAAAUCAAUCUAUUACCAAAGCUUAAGUGAAAAAAAGUUGUCGUGCAUGUGCAUGCCCUUGACACCUGAGAUGUGAUGAAGUGAAAAAAGAGCAAAGAUCACGGCGCUGUUUCCUCCUCGGGCUGCUGAUGAGGAAGCGGAGACUGCACUGAGCUGAAAGCUGAGUCAACUUCAGUAAUCUACAGCCUGAUGUUGACUCUGUGAUAAUUGGUCUGUGGUCUUAAUGAGCUUAACUAGAUAAGUCUGGGGGAAGGGGGGGGGGGGGUCCUGCAAGGCUCAGUAUGGAAGCUCACACAGCAGGCUGCUGCACAGAAGCUGGGUCAUUAAUCUAAACAGAUCACAUUGCUGUUGUUCAAAACAAUCUAAAGGUGACAGUGAAUCAAAUGGUAUCAGACCACAUGAUUAAGAACAAGAGUGGACAUUUAGUCACACCAUCAGAAAAAGACUGAGUUGUUUGGUGAAGCAUUAAAAAAUCUGUGGAAAGAGAUCGUAUUGAUUUUGACAAUGAUUUAAAAAUGCAGACUUGUCAAACUUUAGAUGGUUGUACCAAGAAAAAUAACUUUUUUUUGUUUGUUUGCAUUUGAGGACAGAGUUCAUGUUUCAAACUGCAUUAAAAAUAUAUAUUUUUAAAAAUCACUUGUUGAAACAGUAUGCAAGACUUUAGAAAAAUCGACCAUGGUCAAAAAAAUAAAUGCCACAAUAUCACAGGACAGGAAAACGUCGCUCAUGUGAACGCUUGUAUUGACAGGAUACCAGUUCCAAAAAAAUAUUGAUGUCCGAAAUAAUCGCACGUUUCUUAACAUCUCUUGCCAAAGAAAAAGCUCCACAGGUACUUUUUUUGUUGAGCCUAACUUCAAUAAUAAACUCAGUGCACUAAUGAACGAUUAUAUUUCAUACCAUAACAAUUAAGCUGUACAGGAUCAUAGAAAAAGUCAAAGUGACUGACUGGUGUCUCAAAUGUUGGUCCACGUGUUCAUUAAGCCUGGACUUCUCUAUUGUUUGCAGACAUGCAGACCUGAGUGGAUGUACAGAGACUUGUCCUUGCAGGGUGAUUGAUUAGUCCAUCAUUGGCCAUCAGAGGACCCCCCCUCCUCCUCAUCCAGAGACACUCAAAGAAAUAUCAGCACAUGUCCAGCCAUCCAUCACUGUGUCCUGCCUGUGAGCACAGCUGUGUCCACUCUGUGCUGAGUGCUGCAGUCAAGUAGAAGUCAGCAGGGCUGACAUGAAGCCUGCUCCUCAGUCUCUUACACCCUGAAACCUUUAAUGUGACCCAGAGGACACCCUCCCAACUUUCCCUCCCCCCCUGCUCCAUAAACCCCUCGCAUUCACCACAUUUGGUCGGCUUUACUUCACCCCCCUGAAAGAACGCGAUCACGCUUUCACCCAUCAUGACACAAGCAUGUGGUCUCAGGCCACCUCCAGCCAGGUCCCAACCUUUUCUCCCCUACCUCCCCUCCUUUUAACUCAUAGAUCACAGCUGACACAUCAGUUAUUGAGCUGCGAUAGAUAAGGGCCAGCGUAUGGGCCCCAGGGUCCUGACACCGCUGAAAAUGACCAGAGCAAACACCAUGAGUCACCACUUUAAACCCACUGGUCCUGCUGCCCCUUGUUUCUAACCGAGUUUUCAUCUCAUUUCGUCACCCAUCAGUUCAAACCUGGACUGUGAUCUAAGAGGGGGUUCCUUCUACUGUGGUGAUAUCCCUGUGAAAAAUAUCUUCACUGAGGUAGACCUUCAGUGCGCAUCUUCAUCUUGUAGCUGCUGUUCUGAAUUUUCACUACUACAUCACUUUUGAGACCCCUGAUAAAUGAGACAACUAAGAUUUUCAUAGAUGGGGGAAUACAGGGGGCAGACGUGAAAGAGUCACGUCUUACUGAUAAGGGCAAGAAUGAAACUAAAGGUCCUUACACAGCGGGGCCGACGCAAAUAUAGAGCGCAAAAUUAUGAAAUAUUUGGAGGCGAACUUUGAUGCGCCUGACUAUACACAUCAAGCCCGAUGCGAUUUUGCGACUUUCCGACUUUGCAUCCCAGGUGGGAGCGAGAAGACUGACACAACAGCAGACUGACUGUUUUUCAGUUCUGAUUACACACUAGUGUUGAGAUGGCUGUCUGUCAUGAUAGCAUGUACUUAGUCGGGGCCAUUACCAGAUAAGCACAUUAAACUAUAAUCCAUAAACGUAAACCAAGACCUAAUGGUGCUGUGACAGCAACGCGAUUGAGUUUGAGACCGUGAAAAUACAUAUGGUAUGUUGUAUCUGAACAGGUUAGCUUAUGAGCUAAAGUUACUUAGCACAGAUGAAAGUUAAAACAAAGACGUUUAGCAAACUGUUAAAGCACACAAACCAUCAUCAUAUGAGAGAUCCGAUGCUAUGACUCUCCACAAGUUGUCCUUCGGGUUACCUUUGUAAUAUGUGUGUUUUUUAUCAAAAAACACUCUGUUCUCUGACACGUAAAUAAUCAGCCAGCUAUGUUGGAUAUACCGGUGAAGCUGACGUCGCAACAACACGCAAUCUCAUUGGUUAGAAGUGGACACACAAUAUGCAAGACUUUAGAAAAAUCGACCAUGAUCCGAAAAAAUAAAUGCCGCAAUAUCACAGGACGGGAAAAUGUCGCUGAUGUGAACACUUGUAUUGACAGGAUUCGGGUUCGUAAAAAUAAUAUUGACGUCCGAAAUAAUCGCACGCAAAAAAAAACCGAUUCCCUGUGUGAAAGGACCUUAACUCAAGAAAUACAAGACCUGAAGGGUGUGAAGGUCAACAGAGAUGCCACCAAAGCCAAUGAACGUGAAAAAUCUUGAAAAAUCAAAGCGAUUGCUUGUUUUCCACCCUGCAGCUGUGCGCUAUGAAGCUGUGAGGUGGGGGUGACCCACGAAUAUGAAAAGUUAUCUGUGGAUAAAACAUUUUUAUAAGGUCAGUGGCUGUUUAACAGCAAUGACAACCAGGCAACGGAGAAAAACUAGACAGCACACUGUCAAAGCUGACAGAGACUACGACUGAAUGUUUCUGUGUGGUCAGGGUUUAGCAACUUAACUACAUGGAAAGGUGAGAGAAAAUAUAGCAGCUUGAAGUUCUCCAACGUUGACACGAGAGUAAGCAAAAAAAGAAAGACAUUGGCUAUAUUUACCUGCAGUCAAUAUUUAGGUUAAGGUCAAUAUUCCUGUUUCUGAAACAUUUAGAAUAACAUGUCUACAUAUGAGAGCAAACUGGGUUAUUCCUGUUUAUAUGGUAUCCCGAUCAAAACAGCAGCAAACGGACAACAUCUUGAAGCACGGAGAAUGUCAUGACGUAAUGCACAUCAUUUUAGCUUCUUUUUCCUGAAUCAUCUUCCUGUACUCAAAAGACCAAGAUUCCUUGCAAACAGAACAUGGGCAGAGUACAAUGAAUGUUCCUUUUGAUGAGGAUAUCCCGACAGGCAUAUACAAGACCAAAUAUUUGGGUUAGAGAAAAAGUAACCCAGGGGUGAUUUUCGGGGUUUUAAUAUAUUCAGAAUUUAUGAGCAUAUUCUGUUUUUUCAAAAGGGUUAUUGGUGUUCACAUGGCCGUGCGCAACCGAGUUAUUGCUUAUAUUCCGGUUGUCAAAGGGUUAAUGACUGCACGUAAAUGUAGCCGCUGAGUGGUUGGGAGGAAAAACUUCCAUGAUCCAUGGAUUUGAUGACCUGAUCAGAAUACAUCAUGUUAACUGCUGAGGAUGAAAUAACAAACCCUGCACUGUGUCAGUCUGGUUAGCCUAGCUGUUUGAUGCUAAAAUGAGAUGAAAAUUAUGAAAAUUCUCUGUAUAGAAAUGAAUCGUAUAUUAUAUACCUGAUUAGCGGAUCGUCCUACAGUUGGAGGAACAUAUACAUGUGUCAUGAAAGAGAUGAGUGCUUCGGUGUCUUUCCAAACCAGCUUAUUGAUGGAGUAGACUUCAGCCUGCUCUCAGAGAACUGUAGCCCAGUGAGCCAGACACUUGUCCCGACUGUUUCCCUCUGAAAAGGGUCUGAGCUGACAGACAUCCAUUAUGGUUAUUAAGUGACAUGAAACGUAUGUGCUUUGUAAAUACUGAAAUAUUCCUUUAAUUCACAUUUGCAGAAGAAGAGAAGACUGUUUUUUUUAUAGUAAAAAUAAAGAACAGUGUGGUUUGGAUUUUAUUUUAUGAAUUAGUUAUUCUCUUUUAUCUAUUCUUACUUAUUCUUAAGAAGUCUUUAUCAAACAUUCAUUAACAGUGUUUUCAACAGUAAAAUGUUUCCAAACUAAAACCAAACAUGAUGUUACCACUGUACAGGCACUUUUUUCCCACCAAGUGUUUAUGGUUGGAGACCUGGUGGGGCUUAAAGAGGAUCAGUGUUUCCAUAAGAAGAGAGAGAACAUGUUGUUAGCAGGACAUACAAGCGUGAUAAAUUUCCGUUCGUCUUUUGUCAGUGAAUACGUCUGGGCCCAUAUGCUGGACUACAAAGCUACGUGAAAGCAGCGUUUAAAAAGCCAGGCCUACCACAUUAAAGCCUAUAACAAUCUCUGUUCAUGGUAAGUUAUCACUCUCAAUUAAUCACCUCCCACAAUGGGAUUUCUGAUGUGUUCAAGCCCCCUGAAAGCUGCAGGUCAGGCUGAGGGCAGACUGACUCUUAGUUCCCCAUUCUCCAUCCCCUCAUUCCCCUUUCACUUCAUCACAUCUCUCAGCCGCUGCCAACUGAAGCGUCUUUACAUUUUUCUUAUUCGUCCGGCUCCUUGAAAGAAUGACAGCGCAAAGCAUCUCACAGUCCAAAACAAACAGAGAGAUAGAUGUAGGUAUGGAGAUGUGGGCCUCUGUAGUCUGACGGAGUGACUGAGAGAGCGGCUGAGAGCCUUUCUGCCUGAUUCAAACCCCUCCCUGGUCAUUCCUCUGGGGCUGUGUUAGCCUUUGAAUGGUAUUGUAUUGUUAGGGCUCUGCCCAUUCCUCCACUGCUGAAUGGGUUUAACCACUGGUUUAGAUUCAGUUACACGGUUUUGGUUGAAAGUGUCCCCCUCCUACUGCUUUGGACUCCAUGGUUCUCUUGGCUGACCUGUUUAGAGGCUGCUGUGGAAAUGUCAUGUCGCCCCUCCCAUGGGCCGGACCCUACAUUCACUUUGAUAGGUAACAAAAAAUGACUUGGGAUGGGAUUAAACCAAUGGCUCUUUGUAAAGCACACUGAAUUGUUCAUUUGUUGUGGGACAUCACAGUGCGCUGAUGGAGGACUUUGAAGUUGAGGAUGCGGUGAUUCUUUACCAUGCAAAUAAGGGACAGCUUCAGCCGAGCCGACUCAAUCAAAGAAAAUGAUUAUGGCAGAAAAAUAUAUUCAACACUUGUAAUAUCUUAGUUUAGUCUGCUGUUAAAGCUUGUGAGAAAGAAGAGAGCGUGAGCUAACAAAGAAGCUGUUUGUUGUCAGCAGACUACAUGUUCACACUGUCAUUGUCUUAGAGGUUUUCAGCUCAACUGGAGUGGAAUAAACCAUGUUAAUUAAGCAGGAAGUCAAUAAAAAUUCAGGAAAAAAGUGAGAGAGGGGCCUCAGCAGGAGCUCUGGGUGUUCACCAGGGUUUAACAAAAAAGCCUCCUCCUGAAUUCGCUCUGUUUUACUCUUGUAGUCUCACAUGUCUGACUCUCUGAAGAUGAAUUUGAUGAUGAUUUGGAGUGCUGCUCUAUUUCUUCAUGCCAACAGAUGUACAGAUUUUUUUAUCGGAAUGUGGAGGGUGCUGAUGGCAACCAGCCUGUUCAUGCUCAUCCCAUUAUGAAUGAGAUGUAAAGUAUCCAGGAGGAUGUUAUUAUUAUUAUUAUUAUUAUUAUUAUUAUUAUUAUUAUUAUUAUUAUUAUUAUUAUUUUAUUUUUAUUUAUUUAUUUAUUUAUUUUUUUUAAAUAAUCAUUUUAUUUUUUUAUUUUUUAUUUUUUUUUGUUGCAACCAUCGAGAGCAGUGGUUCUCAAGUCCAGUCCUGGAGGCCCACUGUCCUGCAUGUUUUGGAUGUUUCCCUGCUCCAACACACCUGAUUCAAAUGAUCAGCUCGUUAUUAAGCCAUUACAGAGCUUGAUAACGAGCUUGAUGACAAGACUGAAGUGUUUUUUUAAGAGAGAGUGCACCACAGCAUGUUUAAAGUGAGAGGGGACAACACCAGAUAUAAGGCUACUAUGAAGAAUUGCCCGAAUAUUGGGACCAAUCGUCCCAAUAACCUCUUUUAAAAGUCGAGGAGGGACAAUAUCUGUGGGGCAGGCAGUGGGUUUAAGGUGAUCAAUUAUCUAAUUGUCCUUGUCUUGCCCUGUUUCUUUGUCAGUUCAUUCUGUCAGGGAAAACAAAAAACAAAAAACAAAAAGGGAAGGACCCAUAACGCAGAACAAAGUUUGAUUUAUUUAAAAGGAACUAAAAGAAAAGCAACAAAAACGUAUUGGUAAUUGUCCAGCUGAAAAUCCAAAAGACCAAGAAAAACAAGGAGGUGACACUGAAGACACUGGCAUACACGCAGAGGCAUUGACAUACAACAAACAGAACAUAUCGUGACAGUUUGUAUUUUUUAAGGAAUUUGUAACCCUGUUUUGAAAAGAGCUUUUUAAAUAAAGAUUAUUAUUAUUAUUAUUAUUAUUAUUAUUAUUAUUAUUAUUAUUAUUAAGUUGUUGUUGUUGUUGAGGCCAUGCAGCAAUUUCCACGGUAGAGCCCUUCCUGUUUCUAAUGCAGUGCUGCUUGUGACUUGAGGAUCCGGGCCAUCUGAUAUUUACUUCUGUCUCUAGAUUCUAUGAACCUACCAUUGAAUAAGUCCAUAGAGUCUCUGCCAUGUCUAUAUUUGCUUUUAUUCCGUUGAACUGUGAGCUCACGCAGUCUCUCGCAGCGUUGUCUCAGCCUCUCUAAACGCCCUCUUUAAACUCAGUCAGUAAACUGUUGUAAAUUAAACUGACUGAUCUGAAGAUAUUCCUCCAGCUUUACACAGCUGUUCAGUGUUGUGUUGUCUCUCUCGCAACAUGUCUUUGACACAUGCUGCUGGAAUCAAACUUCAAAUGAGCAGAUAUAUCCACCUCAUGAUAACAUUGUUCAGUCUUAAGACAUUGAUACAGGAUAAGUAUAAAGGUCCUUUCACACCGGGACCGUUUUUCUCGUGCGAUUAUUUUGGACGUCAAUAUUUUUUUUGAACCCGUAUCCUGUCAAUACAAAUUGAUUUUGCAGCAUUUAUUUUUUCUAUCACAGCCAAUUUUUCUAAAGUUUCACUUACUGUGUGUCCACUUCUGACCAAUCAGAUUGCAUGUUGUUGCAACGUCUGAUUCACUGGUAUUUCCAACAUGGCCGACUGGCUGAUUGUUUACAUGUCAGAGAACAGAGUGCUUUUUGAUAAAAAACACAAACAUUACAAAGAUGACGACCUGAAGGACAACUUGUGGAGAGUCAUAGUGUCAGAUUUCUCAAAUGACGAUAGUUUGUGUGCUUUAACAGUUUGCUUAACAUCUUUGUUUUAACUUUCAUCAGUGCUAAGUAACUUUAGCUCGUAAGCUAACCAGUUCAGAUACAACAUACCAUAUGUAUUUUCACUGUCUCAAACUCAAUUGCGUUACUGUCACAGCACCAUUAGGUCUCGGUUGUCACCUUACGUUCAUGGAUUAUAGUUUAAUGUGCUUAUCUGGUUCUGGCCCUGACUCAGUACAUGCUAUCAUGACAGACAGCCAUCUCAAAACUAGUGUCUAAUCAGAACUGAAAAACAGUCAGUCUGCUGUUGCGUCAAAAUUCGCCUACGAACAUUUCGUAAUUUCGCGUUGUAUAUUUGCAUUGGUCCCGGUGUGUACGGACCUUAAGUGUGUGAUUGUUUGAGCACUGUUUUGAGUUAAAUAAAACAUUGAAAUCAUUUGGAAACCCUAUUAUUUCAGUGUUUUGAAUUAAAAAAUCUGAAACUGUUGUCAAUUUUUUUUUCAUUCCAUCUAAAAUCCAUUUUGAUUUUUUUUUUUUGUGAGAACAGUUCUGUUGUUCUUUUUCUGGGGGUCUAAGAAAACACUUGGCUCUAAAAUAAAAUUUACUAGAAUCCCAAUCAUUUCAUUGCUUAAUAACCAUUGAUUGUCAUUGUGUAUUUUUCCUAAUUGAUUAUCCUUCAAUACUGACCUGACCACAUUAGAUGAAAGUGCCCUCUUCAUUUGUCAGAUGAUGACCAAAAUGGACUUCAUUCAGUCUGCUUCAUGGUUUUGGGCAUAAAUCUGCAUUAAUCAUACACUGUGGAGCUUUCUUUGAGCUCUUUGUGCUCUCUGCUGUGAUGUGUUUCCCAAAGCCAUGGCUCUGGUCUGACCACUCCAACACACUGAGGGCUGAGAGAAGGUCAAGAUGUUCUGCAGUAACUCUGCUUAUCCACCCUUUCAGACUUCACAUUAUGGUUUCAUUCAGUGGGUGACUUCACUCACACAUAAUAACACACACACAGUGAAUGUUUUCCAGUUAAAAGGAUCAGGGUGCUAAAGCCAAAAACAACAAGUGCAGUAAGAUGCCAAAAGUCACAUUCAAAUGACAGAGCUGGUCUCACUGAGAAUGACCAAACUGUAAACGACAGAGACAUGUAAGUUUAGACACUCAUACACAUCCAGACCAACAUUUUCUCAGCCUUUCUCCCCGUCAGCACCCUGCAUGGCAUGUUUGAAUGGGACAAGCCUAUAAUCAAUUAGCUGCUCUCCCUUCAUGUGGCUGUCAAUUAGGAGGGAUGCAGAUUGGGUUUAUGACUGCUUUAUUAACCCAGCCAGCUGCCCUCCUCCUCUGCAUACAGCAUCACCUACAACUACUAACCCAAUCACCACACUUUGACUUGACAUUUAUUGGACUGAUGUGGCCUGAACCAGCUCUCAGCAUGAUAUAAUGUCGCCUCAGUCAAAGCUGUUGACACCAUCAUACCAAUCGACUCUAUAAGGACGUCUUUAAAGUGUUUCUUUUCAGCACAUUUGAGCAUAAACCAUUUAACCCCCCAUAUCAUUUAUUACAGAGUUUAAAGGGUCAAGGUCCUUUCACACUGGGAUCGUUUUAGACGUGCGAUUAUGUUGGACGUCAAUAUUUUUUUUCCAACCAGUAUCCUGUCAAUACAAGCAUUCACAUCAACAAUGUUUUCCUGUCCUGCGAUAUUGCGGCAUUUGUUUUUUCGGAUCAUGGUCAAUUUUUCUAAAGUUUCGCAUACUGUGUGUCCACUUCUGACCAAUCAGAUUGCAUGUUGUUGCAACGUCAGAUUCACCGGUAUAUCCAACAUGGCCGACCAGCUGAUUGUUUAUGUGUCAGAGAACAGAGUGCUUUUUGAUAAAAGACACAAACAUUACAAAGAUAACGACCUGAAGGACAUCUUUUGGUUUGUGUGCUUUAACAGUUUGCUAAACGUCUUUGUUUUAACUUUCAUCUGUGCUAAUGUAAGCUAACGGUUGUUCAUGACAGACAGCCAUCUCAACACCAGUGUCUAGUCCUCUGCGUCUUCAAACUUGGAGCUAAUUGUUUCAGCAGAACCAACGGACAUCUGAAAACAGGUUCUGAAGCAACCGUGGUACAGUUUCAGCUCCUGAACCAAGCAGUGAAACUCAGCAAGUUCUCUUCUUUUUUGUAAUAUUUGAUGCACCCAUGUGCUACGUUUCUUUUUCUUUUGAGAAAGCAAAAGGAGUACCAAUUCUCCAUCACUUGAAGUUGAAGUAGACUCCAUUUUUGUCUUCUUGCUUCCACCCAGGACGCUGUAGGAUGGUAAGGGAAGGUCCUACCCUCCUUCGCCUCUGAUUGGCUAUAAGUGCUGACCGUUUGGCUUAAGCAUGUGAUGACGUUUCCAGCAUUUUCAGGCGAAGGAGGCAGGACUUUUCCCCAGAAAAGUCUUCCCUGGGAUGUGUCUUUCACAGAAAGUCGCAAAAUUGCAUCGGGCUUGAUGUGUAUUGUCAGGCGUGUCAAAAUUCACCUCUGAAUAUUUCAUGAUUUCGCGUUCGAUAUUGGUGUCAGCCCCUGUGUGUAAGGACCUUCAAAGUUCAAGCACUGAAAUGGACUCACAGAGAUCAGAAUAAAAUCGGAAUCAUCCCACUUAUUCUUAACAGCCCAAAGAAUAUCAAAUCAAAUGAAUUAGGGAACAAUGAAGUGAAAAAUAAUGAACAUCACUUUAAUGAAUACAUCUGUGAGACAGUCCAAAUGCAAACAUUUGUAGCUAGUUUAUCACCCUUCAAACAUGACGGAUAAGUUUCACAGACACUUGAUACAAAAAUAAAUAAAAACAGGCUCUGGUCAUUUGCAAACCAUUCAAAACCUAAAAACAGUGCAAAGACAACAUAAACAUUGAACAUGAACAAUAAAUAUUCAUUUAAAUAAAUGUUCAUUUGAUGCCAGCAAAACUUCACAAAAAAUGACACUUUAGAAAAACAGCUGGGGGGAACAUCUCCAACUUAAGAGGUUCAUUUCCAACAGGUUAGUAACAUGAGUGGGUAUAAAAAGGGCAUUCAGAGAGGCUGAGUCUCUCAGAGGGAAAGAUUGGAAGAGGUUCACCACUCUGUGAGAGACUAAAAUAUUAAACAAAUCUGGAAAAAUGUUCCUCAAAUUGCGGAGAGCUUGAGGAUUUCAUCACCUCCAGGAGAAAUCUCUGCAGGAAAAGCACAAGAUCAAAAACUAUGGCCUUGAUUUUUCAGAUCCUCUGUACUGGAAAUUCCUGCAUGGGCUCUAAAUCAUCUCUUAAAAACCUUUGUCAGUGACCACAGUUCUCCACCAAAUGAGUUAAAAAUGAACUGUGCAAGAAGGAAACUGUAUUUAUGACCCAAAAAUGCAGACAACUCCAUAAACCAUGGGAAUGUGGAAAAGAGUCAGACUUCGGGGUAACUUUGGGCCUGGACAACUUCAGAGGAGCAACAACCACUUUCCUGGAAUGAAGGUUGUAUAGAAAUAUUCUGUAUCAUAGAGCAGAUCUCUCCUUGAGUCUUCUCUUGAUACCAUACUCCAUUAGCAGCAGCAGCAGCAGAACUACUUGGACCGAUGAAUUAGUCAGUGAGAGUUAAGGUCCUUACACACUGGGAACAACACAAAUAUACAACGCAAAAUUAUGAAAUAUUUUGGGGCGAAUUUUGACGCGCCCGACUAUACGCAUUGAGCACGAUGCGAUUUUGCAACUUUACGGGGGGGGAAAAGACACGUCCUGGGUGGAAGCGAGAAGACUGACACAACAGCAGACUGAUUGUUUUUCAGUUCUGAUUAGACACUAGCGUUGAGAUGGCUGUCUGUCAUGAUAGCAUGUACUGAGUCGGGGCCAGUACCAGAUAAGCACAUUAAACUAUAAUCCAUAAACGUAAGGCAACAACCGAGACCAAAUGGUGCUGUUACAGCAACAUGAUUCAGUUUGAGACAGUGAAAAUACAUAUGGUGUGUUGUAUCUAAACAGGUUAGCUUACAAGCUAAAGUUACUUAGCACAGAUGAAAGUUAAAACAAAGACGUUUAGCAAACUGUUAAAGCACACAAACUAUCGUCAUAUGAGAAAUCCGACGCUAUGACUCUCCACAAGUUGUCUUUCAGGUCAUUAUCUUUGUAAUAUUUGUGUCUUUUAUCAAAAAGCACUCUGCUCUCUGACACAUAAACAAUCAGGCAGUCAGCAAUGUUGGAUAUACUGGUGAAUCUGACGUUGUAACAACACGAAAUCUGAUUGGUCAGAAGUGGACACACAGUAUGCGAAACUUAAAAAAUUCGUCUGUGAUUUGAAAAACUAAAUGCCGCAAUGUCGCAGGAUGGGAAAACAUCACUGAUGUGAACGCUUGUAUUGACAGGAUACAGAUUUGAAAAAAAAGAUUGACGUCCAAAAUAAUUGCAUGAAAAAAACGAUCCCAGUGUGAAAGGACCUUUAAACUCCAUCAGAAUAAAAACACCCAUACUCUGGUUCGGUGGGUGGUUUGAUGAGACAGUUUGAAUGUCCUGUAGUCACAAAACUCACUUCACAGUGUGAAAUCAUUGAACGUUUGUGAUGUGGCUGACUUGUCACCUUGGAAACAACCACAAAACUGUUUCUUGUUGGGAGAUAAGUAAAAAAAUAUUUAUCGUGGAAUUCUUGGUUGAAUGGAAAAGCUUUGUUUAUCAUUCAAGCUUCUCUUGCACAUCAUGUCGUCUCCAUGGCAACUGACUUUAGGUAUAUUUUACAGCCUGUUGAAGCAGCUCCGGAGGGUUUCCUACUUCACGUCUGCCUUUCCUUUCACAGAAAUACUCUAUUGGUCUGCAGGAACAACACACAUAGUGUGGCAGCAAGGCUGGCUCUAAAAGUAAUUGGUUUCAUUGGCGAGUGGAUAAAUAGCAGCGGCUGGUUGUGGAGGGCUUCCUGCCGAGUUUGACCGCUCCUGGGUUAAUCACAGACCCUCUGAGGCUGGAAGCUGUCCCAGUCAGCACUGGCCACCAGCCACUGGCUCUGCCUCACAGCACGGUCGGCUCCAGCUGCAGAGAGACAAGAGGAGCUGUGAGAGUCCUUUAUAACAUCAGGAAAUGAACACCAUGCUGUUUUCUCUAUUUCACUUGCAUUAUCACUUUGAAACAGACAACGAGAAGAAGGUCUCACAUAUGUUUUCCUCUUUCUGUUUUGUGCACUCUAUCCGAUGUAUGAUUACAUUUCAGAGUGGAGUUUUGCAUGCCUCCAUCUCCUCUGAAAAAGGUAAAACAUGUUGAAGUUGUCUUUACACUUAAAGAUUAAUCUGGUCUUGCAUUGUAUCCCAGUUUGCGCGGAUUAGGGUGUAAAAAGACCAUGAGUAUUUCUCUCAAACAAGACAAACAGAUGUAUUAUAUUCUGAUGUAAAUAGCAUUUGAAGUCCUCAACAUCAAUAAUCAUCGACUUAGAUCACAGCCUUUAAGUGUGUUAUCAAACCAAGGAGGGGCUGUGUUAUCUCAGCCAGAUUUUCAAGAUCAGGAUCAAUUCAUCAUGUCCACUUUUGUUGAAUGUACUUGUGAGUGUGUUAGCUGAGUUCGAUUCUUCCUGCACAAACCAGCAGAGGACGCGUAGCAUUUCUUAAUGCUUACUGUUCUAUUGAUAAUGUAUGGACCGUUUAAUCACAGCAGGUAAGGAAAGACUGAGGCUACGUUCACACUGCAGGUUAUGAUGCACAAUUCAGUUUUUUUGUUAAAUCCAAUCUUUUUGUGUGGCCGUUCACAUUACAACAACGAAUGCGGCAUCUAAUGUAAAUGGAAUGUGUCCGUGAAGUGACCCGCAUGCGCACAAAGCACAAAUUGCUUUCCGAACAAUGGUGACAUUUGUCGCAUAUUGAUGACGUAUAGGUCGGAUGAACGCAACCUGAGCGUCCACACUGCAGUCACAUCGGAUACAUAUCAGAUUUAUAUCCACAUACAAAAGAGGCCUGGGUCGGAGUUGAAAAAAUCUGAAUUGCACUGUUCACACUUACAUGAAAAAAUCCGAUAUGUGUCACAUAUGGUUAAAAAUCAGAAUUGACCUGCAGUGUGAACAUAGCCAAUGAGUGAGAUAAGGUGUUUACCAAGCUUUCUGUUUGCAGAAGCUGCUUCAGGAGAAAGAUGAUGUCUGGAUUUGAGUAAAAUGGUUGAAACAUGCCCCUCACAAUGAUAGGAAAGACUGACACUUCAGCCUAGAUACUUGUGUGUCAAAGUAUGUCAUGAAUAUUACUGUGGAGAAAGCCUGUUCUGAAAUUUGUCUUUCAUUUAUGCAUGAAGUAAUAAUCUAAUAUUAUCAGUCAGUAUAUCCUGACAUUUGGUUGUCGUAAUAAUGAGCAUGACAAAGCAGAUUGUGUAGCCCUAAAUGUGAGAAAACGCAGCUACAGCCUUUUUCUUAGGGUGUCUAAGCUGAAAGAUCAGCUCAAAAUAAAAUGAACGGUGAAGCUCUAGAUCAAUGGUUCUCAAGUCCAGUCCUCGAGGCCCAUUGUCCUGCAUGUUUUGGAUGUUUCCCUGCUCCAACACACCUGAUUCAAAUGAUCAGCUCGUUAUCAAGCUCUGUAAUGGCUUAAUAACGAGCUGAUCAUUGGAAUCAGGUGUGUUGGAGCAGGGAAACAUCCAAAAUGUGCAGGACAGUGGGCCUCAGGACUGGACUUGAGAACCACUGCUCUAGAGACACCAAGUGAGUAGAAGAACCUGAUUGAACCUGAUUGAACCAAACAAACAUGUACUUUGCAAACAUCUGGACAGCUGAAUGUGCUGCUCUCUCUGUUUUCUACUGUUUCUUUAUUUGAUCCACUGUAGCGCUUGACCAAACUGCUGGACAAUGAUCCAGGGGGGAAGAGUGAUGCCUGAAUUAUCUGCACUGAUGUGUACGUUGUCCAAAACUCAGAACAUAAAGUGAGAUCUUAAACAAACAUGAUUGACAUUUAGAAAAUGGGAGUUGAUGGUUUCUUUAUCAUGAUGCAGUCUGUUUCCACUCAAUAAGAGAACCUGUUCACCAAAAUUCAUCCCUGACACUUGAACUUACUUAACCGCUUUUGUAUGGAAAUGGUUGAAAUGAUGAAGUUAAGUCUAUUUCUAAUUGAAGGAUGAAGGAAUGAAGGAACAUGGUUUAACUGUUAAGGUUUUACACUGGGACCGUUUUUGACGUUUUUUUUUCUCGAACCCAUAUCCUGUCAAUGCAAGCUUCGCACACUGUGUGUCCACUUCUGACCAAUCAGAUAGCGUGUUGUUGUGACUCACCGGUAUAUCCAACAUGGCCGACUGGCUAAUUUUUUACGUGUCAGAGAACAGAGUGCUUUUUGAUAAAACAAACAUUACAAAGAUAACAACCUGAAGGACAACUUGGGGAGAGUCAUAGUGUCAGAUUUCUCAAAUGACGAUAGUUUGUGUGCUUUAACAGUUUGCUAAACGUCUCUGUUUUAACUGUGCUAAGUAACUUUUUAACUCGUAAGCUAACCUGUUCAGAUACAACAUACCAUAUGUAUUUUCACUGUCUCAAACUCAAUCACAUUGCUGUCACAGCACCAUUUGGUCUCGGUUGUUACCUUACAUUUAUAGAUUAUAGUUUAAUGUGCUUAUCUGGUACUGGCCCUGACUCAGUUCAUGCUAUCAUAACAGACAACUAUCUCAACACUAGUGUCUAAUCAGAACUGAAAAACAGUCAGUCUGCUAUUGCGUCAGUCUUCUCGCUUCCAUCCAUAUUUUGUAAUUUCGCAUCGUAUGUUCGCGUCGGCCCGGUGUGUAAGGACCUUUAAACGCAAGUGAUGUAAGUGAACUAUAUCUGUAUGCUGGCUUGAAAGACCUGUGUGUUCAGUUCAUGUUUAAAAAAGCCCCAUUAGCUGGACAGUACCUGUUCAUUAAACCAAAACUUAUCACGAUGGUAUUGAUUUAGUCUUUUCCACGGAAUAUUUGUCCAUUUGAGUAAAACUAUUUGAUGACUUAGUUACAGAGUUAGAAAAAACUCCACAUUCACAAUUAAAGCUUCUCUUUCACUGUCCCUUUAGGUCAUUUUUGGAUAAACUUUUUAUUCUUUACUUUCAUUAUAAAGACAUCAGUACUUGAGUACAGAAGCAAAUAUCCAGCUUUAUUAACGUUUAUUCAUGUAUGUUGCCUGAUUUUUUUCAAACUAACUCUCCUUUUUGAAUAAGGAAAAUGUGUUUGCUCUACACAAGUUAAUAGCUGCCAUUUCAGCUCCAUAAACUCGGCAGUUUGUGUAUGGGGGCUUUUGUUUUUGAUUGAUUUGACGCCCGCAUAAUGCUGACUUUCUCCAUGCCAUGGGCUGACUGAAACGGCCUUUUUGUGCCACUUGACUCCCUCGCACUCACACAGCUGCAUUUGUCUUGCAAAUCCAUCCCUGCUGUGCUGCGUUCAGACGAGGAAAAGAGAGCAGUCGGACAUCAGUGAAGUUCAAGCCAGCGAACAAGCGGAGAGGCUGUUCCAUAGCAGCCGCUUUUGUCGAUAUCAAAACGCAGAGCUGGUGAAAAAUGAUGCAUGCUUUUACACCUCUGAAGCCUGGCAACUGACAGAGCAAGGGAUGGGAGUGCAGAGGGUGGGGGGCACAAAACCAAGAGAGAGAGAGAGAAAAAAAAAACUUUUUCCCUAGAGGCUAAAGUCAGUGCUGGAGGCGAACAAAAGGGCCCGGUCUGAACGGGCUGAGUGUCCUCUUGCGCACGACGGGGAUCAGCAGCGCAGAGAGCAGGAGAUGGAUGGAGACGCACACGUACAAACGGCCGUGACUAAAAUUAGCAUAUUUGUAAUUUAUCACCUUUUCUAGAGUUAUUCAGGGAUUUUUUUAAAGACAACGAAUCAUUAGUCAACGUGUUACGUGCGGAGUUGAAGGUUUCUGAUCGAAAAAAAAAAUCAUGAAUCCCAAGUCUGAGAUCUGUUUCACUCCAAACUCGAACACGGAUUUAUCCGGUUUGUCUUAGGACUCGGACUUUUUCUGGGACCCGUUCUGGGAUCAUCUCAGUCUACUUCAUUACCAUAUCCUUUCAGACCAGCUUCCUUAUGAAUAAAUUGUAAUAUUUCAUGACGGGGCACGCAAAAGCUGUGCACAAUGCCUCUCAUAUCCACUCUGCUUUCAGCCGCAACAAAGAUCAUAGCAAGACGUCUUUAUGGCUAAUUCGGUCAAAGGCGCAUCUCCCGUCCUCUGGCGUAGAGGUCAGCCCGCCGUGUUCCGUCCACCAGGGGGGUUUUCAGGGGCCAACUGGCUCCACGACUCCACACACACAAACACACACUCACACUUAUAAUACCGGUAUUCAGUGAUUUCAUUUCAAUAGAACAGAAGGCAGGAGGUUUUUUUUCUUUGAGUCCGUUCAAUGGAAGACCGGGAGAAAAGAGUGCGAAACUCAUAAAGUGCAUUUUCCACGUUUAAGAUCGAGACAUCCAGGGAACUAAAAUAUUUUGGAAGUAUCAUUAAUCUGCCUCCCUUUGACAGACUGAGAUGUAGUUUAUUUAGAAACUAACACACCAGAUUCAGAGUCGUGUUCAGUGUAAUUGUUGUAUAAUGCCCUCUAACAACUUUAUAUCUUUCUAUAUUUGAAGGCUGAAAAGGAAUAUGUAAAAUGAGUGUACAGGCAGAUCCGACUGGCAAGUUUGCAAAAAACGAAGAUGUGAUGUCAAGAUGAUUUCUACUAAAUCCGUCGGUACAAUUAUUUCUGUUUCUUUACAUUUUUCCAUUUCCCAAACACCGUCUCGACAAAAUCCUACUCUUCGACACUUAGUCGAACCUUUAUUUCUUUUUAGACCAAAGAUGUUGAGACUAUCCUGAUGAAUAUGUAUGAACAGGCAGAAAGUAACGCUGCAGGUGGCCGGAGUGUCUGAAACGUCAGAAGACGGACUCUUCAUUAUACUGACGGCUGUCAUUUAAGGCAUCCCCUUGAAGUGGUUCAUACGAUCCACUCGUACUGGUCAGUGAUGCUGCUUGUCACGUCUCCUUGAUGCCGUCACUAGGGGAGGGAGAGACACGCCACAGUCCUGCCCCGAUAUCGCACCGCGCAGCAGACGCAUCAUUACGCACGAGACCAAAGUGGAAAGACGUAUCCGGCUUUUACGCACGGAUAAACUGCAGCCGAAAUAAGAGUUCUAACGAUGGAUUUUAUUUGUAUUAGAGAGUUCUAAAGUUGAAUUUUUGUAUCAUGUAGGCUAUUCUCACACAUCCUCUCCCACAGAGCGUCUCUCUCACUCAAACACCAAAGUAGCACCGGACGCAUUACUUUGACCGACGUAAAUAAAAGUCUAACACAUUACAGAGUGACAGUUUGGUGUAACUGAUUUCAUUUCACUCAUGCAUUCUGAGGCACUUACAAUAAACUUUCCGUACACAGUCUUCAGACCCAGUUUUUCCGUGCGUCUUCACGAAAACCCAUGCGCCAAAAAGUAAACAAAUUCGGUUGAAACAAAUCCAAAGCAGCCCACGUCGCCCCUGCUCGAAAUUACAAGAACUGUUCGCACUUCCCUUAAAUGAUACAAAGUGUUUGUCCUUCAGAAAGCCUUCUCUUUUCAGUUCCGCUGUUAUUAUUUCCUUCUAUCUUCCCUGAUUCGCUGCUUGUGCGCGCCGGAGCCACUUGUUGCCGGCGCAUAAAGUUGGACCUUUUGAGAAGUUAAAUAUCCAGAGAAGAACACAAGUUAGUAUCUCAAGGGCUUGACGGGGACAAAAGACCAGCGCCUUAGCACCAUAUGCUUAAUGGCUACAGCCGUCCAGCCUUUAUUAAAGGCAAAAAGUGGUCCUUUAAAAGUUGGAAAGGCUCCUUUAUUUGAAUUAGAUGGAGCACUUGCGCACAAAACCUGAAGCGCGCGUUGCUAUUGACUCGCCUCCUUUCUCUUUCUUUCAGGAGUCUGAAGCGGCCACCGUCAUCGCCCGUUUCACUCCAACAUAAGCUUUUCAUCACCCGGCUUUGUUCCUGGUGAAAGUAAUGCUGCGAAUCAAAGAGAUGACAAUAUUUUCCAUCAGCUUGGAGACCCUGGACAAGAGCCCUCGAGCUUUGGCAAAAAUCGGGGCCGGUUAUUCAUCCUGUCACUCCGCACCUGUGGUCCCGCAUUCAAAGUAUACAAACUUGUCCCUAUUAACAUUAAUUAUUCACAAACAACACAAAGGCUGAAAUAGAGCAGGUUGAAGUCUGUUUAUGGCUCCUAAAUGUUUUAUUCCUCUGAAGAUGUGCCCAAAGCCCCUUUUCUCUCCCUCGCUUCCUACCGAGUGCCCGUCUCUCUUUCAACCUUGAGUAGCCCUACAGUUUCCAUGUUACAAUCGCAGCAUCUGCUAAAUCUUGCGGAUGAAAAUAUGAAACAAAACAUAGCUGCAAGAGGAUUUGUUAAAUCCCGAUAAUGAGUUAUCAACAUGGGGGACAAUGGCGCAGGAUGGUGAGAGCCUUAUGGUUGCGGGGGCAGCCGGGACAGUUUGCUCUCUUUGCAGAAAGCGCCAGGUGAUGGCAAGAAAAUCGACUCUGUGAGGAGAGGAACACCAAACCACAUCCUUUCUCUCCUUGGGAAAAAAAAGCACAAGACAUAAAUUUAAUUGGCUUAUCAAGGCGCAGCGAAAAGACCUCGUUGUUAAUUGGCUGAGGGCGCACAAAACAAACGCAGGGAUGUGUUUAGCCAGGCUCAGCCGCGCUGCGCUUUCAGCCCUGUGUCACAUCAUUGAAAAUGUGUUUUAUUAUUGCAAAACGUCAUGCUUUACAGUUGCCAUAUUGUGUCCUGCACAAAGGCUGAUGGAACAUUAAAGUCGAGGAAAACGGUGCCAACACGUCUCGAAGACACUACAAGGGCCUCUCUCUUUGCUUGCUUUUAGGCAGCUGCUGUCCAGGGCGCAAGGACAUGAAAAGAAAC